AUAACAAUGUGGUCUAUAUGUCGCUACUGAGCGGGGUCGUUGUGGCGCAGGGGUUAGAAAAGGUGUGCUGGAAGGCACAAGGUUGGUGGUUCGAUUGCUGCCCCAUCUUCCAUGUCGAAGUGUCCCUGAGCAAGACCCCUAAUUGCUCCCCGGGCAAAAUGUGAAAAAGCCAUGGGUUUAAAGUGUAAUGUAAGUCGCUUUGGAUAAAAGUGUCUGCUAAAUGACCUGUAAUGUAAUGUAAUGUACAUUAUCCCACUUUGCAUUAUGAACUCGCAAUUUUUAUUAGCUAUUUCGAAAGAUAUUUUGACGCAGUAUCAAUGUGGAAAUGCAGAAAAAGAAUAACUUCUUCACAAGUCACUUAUGCAGAUAUGUAAUAUUACCACUAAUUGAUUCAAUUAGGCACGGUACAUUAAAAUAAUUCAUAAAAAGGCAUUGUGCCUUGAGGAAACUCUGCCCCUUAUCUUGAUUGACAGGCACAGUUACAGGUUAAAAUAAGCAAGUAUGGCCACCUUAUCAGUUUUUUUUUUUUAUUAUCUCGAGUUACUUAAUAACUUGAAUUACUUACAAUACUAUACAUAGUUUUGAAUAUAUGUUACGUAGCAUUAUUUUGAUAGUUAUUAUGGUUAAAACUUCACUUAUACUUACAUUUUUAUCUUAUUCUGGGAAACGCUGCAUGCAUGUCAUGCAACUUCUUUUUGUGAAUUAUUAAACCUAUAAUACUUUUUUAUUUUUUCAUAAAACAUCUCCUUUCAUUGCCAAGACUAAUCAACACUGAACACCAUGGUAUAUUUCGCACUCUGAAAUCCAGUUUCAGCCUUGAACUCUGUGCUGAUGCAAUUCCUCCUCCUCUAACCCGGCGUGGAACAUAUGUUCUUGAAAAUCACAUUACUUUAAAAUGUACUGAAGUGCUCCACAAAGACAUUUUCAAUGAUCUUUUUCAUUACAUAGAUCUCAAAAGGCGUGUUUUAGUCUUUUUUUUUGGUCUGUUGCUGAAACGUGAAGAAAAUAAAUAUAAGUGGCUCAAUGUGAAGUGCAGUGAGGUAGAGGGACUUCGGUAAAGAGAGAUAGAGGACAAGGACCUACAGCCUUGGUAGAAUAAAAUGAGAUUUCAUGCGACAUUCGCAACUUAAGGGCUUUAUUCCAUGCAGACUUAAAAAAUACAUUUUACACAAAGUGAGGCGUAUAUUUGUUGGGCUAUUCUGCUUCACUGCACUGAGUGUUAAUCAUUGAUGAAUGAAUGGGACACCAGCUUGUGUGUGCUAUAUAUGCAACAAAUCCCUUAAAGUGAAGUCAUACUGUAGUUAGCAGUAUUAGGUUUUUAUCUAAAUUAAAACAAUUCAGAACAUUGUAUUGAAGGCGCUUCAUCAAAUAAAUUUAGAUUUUCUACUUAAGGUAUUUUCAACGGGAUACAUUGUGUUCAUUUGCGUUUGAAAUAAUUAGAAAACCCCAACACAAUAACUGCUGCCGAGGGUUUGCUAAGCAAUGCGGCUGCAUGGUCGCUGGGCUACAUUCACAUUUGCCCAUGACACAGAUUGCUCUGGUUUCAGAGGAGCAAAUCCGCUUGCAAAGGACAGGUGAAAAUGAUGGCCAAAACAGCUGAGCCAAGGCCACCCAAGUUCAGUCUCCACAGCCAAAAUACUUACACCAAUAACUGUACUGUAGCUGGCUAGUUCUCCUUUGUCCGUGUCUUAGACAACAUACGGGAGUAGGCUUUCAUCCAAGUUAGCAGUUGCGCCGAUGUUUUGCAUGCAGUAAGUUUUCAAACAUCUUCGGGGACCAAUCAUUUUGUAUUCAAGCGGAGAGACUCAUGUUGGGAGUCAUGUCAACACUGGACUCUUCGCCAAAUCCCCUCUGGUCUUUGUUAACAUGCUUUUCAGUGCUACUGUCAAUUUUUUUUGCUGUUUUCUUGAUGGUUUAAUCACUUUUAUUUUUGCAGACUGAAUGAUAAUCGUUUUGUCAAUGCAUUUUUUAGGAGGCAGCUGGAGAAGGCAUAAUAAAUGCAUGUGUUCUUGAUUAUUAGAAUGAUAGUCUUGUGCAUGCUACAAUAUGUAGCCCGGUGGCACAGAAGAUGAAAUCCUUACCUGGGGACAAGGACACAGUAGCUGUAAUCAGGAUUUACACAGCAAUGACAAAAAACUCACAAAUUAAGCAUAUGCCUUUAUACAAAUAAAUUGGUUUAUAAAUAAUGAAUCUGGAUGGACUCUAAGGCAUAACAUUAUUUUCACAAUAAAAAUUAACCGCAUUUGGACCAAUGUUGGAUUUUAAUAUAUGUAUGUUGAUUCCCUCAAUUCAGGUAUUUCCAAAUUUUUAAAGUAAUAUUGAUACAAUGAAUAAAAUAAACGUUUGAGAGCAUACAGAUUAGAAAGGUAGUAAAUUGAAGACGCGAUGUUUAUGAUCUUCAUUCUGAAUGCACAAUAACGGAUGGUCUCCUCUGAACAUGUAUUCAUUUGCUUUGUGAGAGCUGAUGUGACUCAGAAAACCUUGACAGCUUGGAUUGAGGUUUUGAGUUACAAGCCUGCCUGAAUCUUCAAUGUGUUAAUAUCUCUUGAAAAAGAAUUACAUACACCGAUGUAGAAAUUGUGCACUUUAAAAGGAGCCCACUGGCUCGAGCCACAUGAAUUAAAGUAACUUUUGUUGGUCUGGAGAUUUUGUAAGAUUUCUCAUUUUGCUCAUUUUGUUAAAAAGCGUAUAUUCGUAAGGAUAGGUAAAUAACGUAAUUUUUGUACAUUCUUCUCGGUUGAACAUAAACAAAGUGUUCGCUGAGCUCCACUCUCCACAGAGUGGAGCUCAGCUGAGGGUAGGAGAUGCCCCAGAGGUCACAACGUUAACUGUCACUAACAAAAGAUUUAUUUCGAGGUUCUUUGGUGUGAUGUUUGUUUUCUGGUGUGCAGCGGCGAGACAUAUGAUAUACUGCCAUCUCUCAUACCCUGUCAGACACUGUCACUGUGGAGGUGUCAGUGUGUUUGUCUAAAUCAUAACGCCAUCAUUUUUUUGAGUGCACAAUUCAACAUUUAUCCUUACGUAAAAGGUACCCGCCAAUCCAAAUGUCUGUGCAAUAUUUAUUUGUAAUGUAAGACAACUGUUUAGACCUUAUUUUGAUCUAACCCGAGAUGGGUAAUGGGGCUGUCCAAAUGUUCUAAAUUAAAAUAUGUGUGUGAAUUUCAACAUGAAACAAUAUAUAUAUAUAUAUUUGUUUGUUUCAUUGAGAAUUAAGGGAAUCAAGACGAUAUUCUAUCCACUCGGUAAUCGUCUGUCAGAAGCAGCUCCCAGGGAAAACAGUGUACAGUGGAUCGCUAGCAAAUGUCCAACUGACAUCCAACAUUUACUGAGGCAAAACAGUUUCACACUCACAUGGUAAGAAAUCAACAGCUUUUGUUGGCCCACAUAUUGAUGAAUGGAUAAUAUUUCACCGCACACCGUAGUAAGUGAGGGGAAUCUGCCUGUAGCGAAACAAGCGCGCUCAGAGAAAUACUGGUUGCCUUGAUUAAUCAGUGUGGAUGCGGUUGAAGACUCUUCUAUAAGUCUUGCUCAAAAACAACAAAGAGAAUGACACUGUGUGAUAACAGCAAGCGCCAUGUAAACUAAGCGCAUGCUCAUCAGCUGACCAAGGUCAGACUAGUGAAUUAGACACUCACAAAAUGGGUGAGGAGUACUUGUUCAUUCAGACAUACUUUCUAAACAGAAAAUACAUGUUUUAUCUAGGAAUAUCUACUUGACAUGCCAAUUUAUUAACAGCAAGGAUCCUUUCAGCUCGCUGGCCUUGGGGACAUUACCCUUGUUUAUUUUCUGUCAACAAAUUAAGUAAAAGUACAGGUAGUCUUAAUACUGUUACAAGCUCAGCCAAACCCCAAUAAAGACAAAACCCUUCAACAUCUUGCAGUUCCCUCAGAAUGUUUGUUCAUCUUCAAAUCUUGGUUUCCCACUUUAUAUAAUCCAAAGGAAUUCAUUGUAGUUAUUUAAGUUGGUCACAGCCACAGCCAUGUUAAUCUUUUUAUGUAUAUCAAUAAAUAGAUGUCAGUAUUUGCCAAUAAACAGAACUGCUUCUGCCAGAUUCUAAAAAACAUUUUGUAUAACUUUUAAUAAGACAAAGAAUUUUGCAUCUGGACAGUUUCUUCAACAUGCUAUUCAUCAGAUUAAACUGACAUCACUUUGAAUGUCUUGGCCUUAACUGAGGUGUUGACAAGAACAAUAAUAGAAUGUUCCUUUUCUCUCAUUUCUUGAUGUGUUGUGGCAGGCGUUAUUUUCAGUUUCCUUAGAAAAUGAUCAUAAAAACUGCAAACUGCUCUUGCUGUUUAACUUACACAUGAUAUUUCUGAGGUAGAUAGGGCCUAGACCAAUAUCCAUAACCUCGAUUUGAAGAAGAUGCAACAGUGCAUCGGUUCAGUUCAAAAUUGCAUCAAGAGAGAAAAAAUAAAAAAGGUGGUGCUUUUGAGAGCCGCUGAUCAAUUCCUGAGGCCACAGUGAGGGUUGUGCCAUCCCAGCGGCCUGAGUUUUCCAUCACUGAUAUUUGAGUGUUGUUUGUGCUUUCCGUGCUCUCAUCCAGUUUUUGUGAUUUUCUACAUGACUCCUGAUAACCUCCACAACAGCUUCAAUUAAAUCAUUCUAAAUCUGAUUUGAUGUGCUGGUAAACACUUACAGGAGAAUAAAUGCGAGGCAAAGUCAUCGUCUCGUCUGCCUAUAACAUUCCGUAGGCUUAGAACACUAGACUGUGAUGUCAUGAUACUUGAAUUGCUAACUUGUAAUACAAUACCUUGAGAAAUAGCAAAAUUUGAAGUGUAUGUCGUAUUUCUGAUACAACAGAAAGAAAAUCCUGUUGGCAUAGCAUCUAGAAAAUCGAAAAGAAAAAUAUAUUAAUGCGGCGCACUUCGAGAGCAAAAUUAAAUAUCUGGGUUAUUAAUGGGAAACACUGAAGGCUGUUCGACGACAGCGACUGAGAAGGCGGGGCAAUGCAGUGGUUAGUGCAGGCGUGUCAAGUGUUUCAGGAGCGAAAAGAGUGAGAAAAACAGAGCUGGUACAGAUGUAUUGAAUGUGCAGAUCAUUAUUCACAUAUGCACUCAUCGCUGGUGGUCCACGACUCCAAAAUGUCAAUUCCAACUGUCAAAAUCACUCUGUGUGCAACGACAGGUCAAAUUCGACAACUCGCGAUCGCAUCUCCGACGCAGAGUGACGUCAACCGAGAGUACCUGUCACCUGGCAUAAGCUCGAUCUUUGCUUCAUCACUGAUCAUUCUACACAGAUUCAGAGCGGUGACGGGCUAAAGCUCAUGAAUUGUAGAUGAAUAAAAUUCAUAAAAUUAUGAAGAACUGUUACAUUUCUUAUUAGAAACCACGUCUGAUUCAAGUACAAGACCUAACCAAUGACAUCACCCUCCUAAAUAAAGGUUAAAUAAAUACAUAAAUCAUCAAAAGCAAUAAUGUUUUCUGUAUUUUAUUUUCACUUGCAUUGGGCCGCUUUAUCAUAUUUAUCUGAAAUGUAUUGCAACAUGCCUCUCUGACAGUCUGCCCAAGGUUGUUGCUCUUUAAUUUGGCACGGACUGUCUAAUCAGAUCAGUCUGCGAGAAGAUGGCUGUCGCUGAUGUCAAGGAAAGGACAGCUGACAGAGACAGACAAUGGAGGGAAGUGAAAAAAUAACGAAGGCUUUUGAGAAAAAAUAUGUAAAGCUUUCCAUGUCUGACAAUCGAACAGUACAGUUUGCACGGUUUGACUGGCCAACAAAAUUCAUAAAACAAUGAAGUUUUUCCUAAAACAUACUCCCGCCUUUCCCUGCAAAUCUUGCCUCUAGUUGAGGGAAACGUGCCCUUGACACUCCCGAUGUGAGCUGUGAUAACGGCUGCUGGUGCAAAUCAGUUUGCUACUUUAACGACUAGAAGAGGUAAGGACAUACUUAAUAAAGCAUCACUGGUAGUAUUUGUGUCAAUGGCUCUUCAGAAGCAUUUUGAAUUCAUCGGAAACUUCACAGACCUGUUAACCGAAAUCAAGCAGUUCUAUCACAUCAGCAGACUUCAUCUGAAUCAUUAAGCCACAUUAAUGAUGCAUAAUAUUCAGUGUGCUUGUCUGUCCAAGGUUCUUUCUUGGGGAGCUUAAACUCACCGAAUACUGAGUAUGUGUGCACAAGUUUUUAAAAGAAAAAGUCGGAUAGGGUUUAUUAGAUAUUAACCCCAGGAAAGGGCUGAUCCUAAUUAUAUGUAUCAAAGCAGCUCAAAUACUAUUUUUUUUCAUUUUAUCUUUCUUGGCUCUGUUUGGCCUUUAGCUGCGUUUUCUAAGACUGGACGUUUUUCCAGUAAGUAACAUUGCAUUCACAUGGUUAUGUAUUCAUGUGCCUGGUUAUGGUUUUACAAUGGCAAGUACUCUCAAGUGACCUCAUCAGCAUUGAAGACUAACUACUUAUGAGAGAUAUUCCCUUCUCAGGGACGUCGGACCUACAGCACGGUGCCUUUGUAUCAUCAGCACUCUUAACUUUGGAAAUUCCCCAUUUUAGAUUCAUGUCUCAGUUUGCUUUGCGAGUCAAGGUCAUGUCAAUGAUAGAUUGCACUUUGCUUUCGUGCCUGAAUUUGAGACCCCUUUAUCUCUAAAAAUCGCUGCCUUAAGGUUCUAAAUUGAGAAAACAGCCAGGGUGUGAUUUCCUCAACCAUCUGAGCAUAAUACAUAUGAGCUGUUCAAUGCCAUUUAUGUGUAGAUCUGCUGGAGUGCAGAGCCGGAGAGCAGGCACCGCCGAAGACCCAUUAUUUCAGACCCCCACAGUUUAAGGCAAUAGCAAAGGUGCUAUCCACGUACCUCAGGACAUUUUCAUUUUCUGCAUUUCAAAGAAAAGUGUAAGACAUUAUAUAUAUAUAGUUCUAUAUAAAAAUACUACUUUUACUUGAUCCCAUUGAUGUAAACACCCCCAAUGAUGUCAUUAGUGACACAGUAUAGUUCAUCUCCUCUGUUUAAAUGCGUUAAGUGUUGAAUUCAGUAUUUCUAAAAAGGUAUUCAUCACACACGUAGAUCCAAAUGCUGUCAAACAUUACCCCCAUAAAAAAAUUAUAUUGGCACGUCAACCAAGCUCAUAAAUUGUGAAUUAAACAUUAUCAUCACGAUAAGUCCAUUGAUGUACUGUAAUGGGUCACCGUAAUUAUAUGCAGCACAGAAUGAGAAGUGAAAAGGCUCAUAGCAGCUAAUCAGGCCAAUAUGGACAAAAUAUUUUAUAUAUUAUGAUCAAAAAUUUACAUCUAUGCAACUGCUCGAUUUCAAACUGAAACUAAAAAUCUCCUCAUCUAUUUUUGGAGAGUUGAGUCCUUUCGUCUUUUCUAUCAUAUUCUAUUUCGAGUAAUGGUUGUGAGAACUUUUUUUCUAGAAUCCAUGGAUGGAGUGUUUCUUCCGUUAUAAUACUAACAAUCCUAGAUAUAAUCUUGGUGGUGUUUCUUAUCCCCAGACAAAGCCACGAGGCUUUCUUGAAACAUCAAUUCAACAUUAGAAUUUGCUCUGCUUUCAUUAGAAGGCAAAGUGCUAUGUGGGUUACAAAGACCAAUUGUUAAAAAAUCCCAAAGCAAAACGUUUUACACAGGGGCGAGUUAAUGAGCACAACAUAGGCUGCUGCUCUCUGACACCAGAAACAAGUUAUGAUCUGUUGUCUAUGGCUCCUGCAGAGCCUUUGACCCACUCUUUGUUUACCCUAUUGCAGUACAUGGUUCCCACCUCGCUGUGUCUCACACCAGUAGGUUCUUCUCGUUACUAACGACAGGCCUGGCCUGAGCGAGGGUACUUAACCAACAACUGGCAUUUGGCACUGUUUUAUCAUUAGACAGUGUCUCUAAAAUGCAAGCUCCAAGGAGCAGAAUAAUCAUACAAACCAAUUAUUGCUGUUGUUAAUUAGUCUGACUCUACGGUUGGGUUGAAAUGCCACCAAUGCAGGUCGGAAGAUGCAACUUCCUGAUGGUGGUUGAUGAAGAAUCUCAGCAUGCCCCUAAGAUGCCAGUAAGUGCCCAUAUGCUUCAUGCAACCAUGUCUGACUCAUCAUUGUCAGAACAACUUUGCAGGUGCGGGUUUUGUCUGAAUGCUGAAAACAGAGCAUUCAAAUAUGGCACAUUUUGUACAGUGAUCAGCUGUAAAUUCAGAAUCGUGUCAUCAAGUUAAGUUAUAACAAUUAAACAUACUCCAACUCCUGACUAAAUGUUUUAACCGCACACUUGCAUCUUUAAUUCUAAUAGUUCAUCAAGUUGUGUUUUCAAGUCAUGGCUGCAAAUAAUGAUUGAUUCCAUUAUUGAUUGAUAACAUAUUUUUUUAAUCUAAUCAAUCGAAUCAGUUAACUAAUUGAUUAAUUGAUUAUUGUUUCCACAAUAAUACUGAAACGUAUUUACACCACACUGCAUUCAUUUUGGCAUAUUUAAUCCUAAACCGUGGUUUCAUUUUGACUGACAAUCUCUUUUCAAUGUCAUUUUAUGUUCAUUUAUACUAAAUAUACUACUACUAUUAUUUAUACUAGACAUUGAAAUGACAACCUUGGAACACUUUGUCCUGCCCACUUUCGUUUGAUUAGGAAUUCAAAGCCUUAGUUGCUGAGCUGGUGUUAUGAUAAUGCACAGCACCCCUCUGUGAUACACAAAAUUGGUUUUGACAACAGGCUAGCUUUUAUAUUCACACUGCCUUGAGACCAUAUAUUUAACAUAUAACACACAUCACACAUAAUCCCUCCCCCCUUUAAGACUGGAGACGGGUAACCACUGCUUGAAUAGAUGUGAGUGACCAAGAAAAUUCAUGAAACAAUGUUGUUUUCCUUAAAACAUACACUCUGCAGAUCUGCCUUCUAGUUGAGGGAACCAUGCCCUUGACACUCCCAACGUCAGCUGUGAUUUUGUCACUCAGAGCUGCAAAUACAUUAUGUGCUGCAGACAUCUUGGAUGUUAAUGACUAGAGGGGGUAGUAUACCCCCCUCCCCUGGUACCUGAGUCUUCUGAGAGCUACCAGCUCUUCAACAAAAAGUAAACAGAUUCUCAUUAUAUUAUCUGUUAUUGGCUUUAGAGUUGUACACAUAAUAACUUGCUGCAUAAUUUUUCUGAUUACAGAGAUCUCUUUUCAACUUCUUUCUAAUAAAAUUAGAACUCUAGUGCAUACACAAAUGAGGCUGCUGAUAUUGAUGGAAGGGAUGUCUACUUCACCAAGCAGCAAAGGUGAAUCAACACAUUUGGCUUCCAAUCGAAGAUGGAAAAAAGACACAUGCCAACCUGUGAGAGGACAUCAGUAAUGGGCUCACAUUUUCCUAAUCUCCUUUGAUGGAUUCAGGCCAUGAUUUUCAUUUAGUCCAAAAGAGAUAACCAAACUGUCAGCUGUGUUGCUUCUUUGCUUUAAUCUCCGCCUGCAGCCAAUAAUCACCCUGCAACCCACGGCCCUUUGUCAAUUGUUAAUCUUGUAUUGGAGACGUUAAGAUGCCAGGGUGGUUUUCUGCAUCCUAGGAUAAUCCAGGAGGCCACUGAGGAGAAGCAAAUUGGAUUCAUUAUUAAAUUUUGCAUUAUUAAAAAGACAAAUGAAUUGAGUUCUCCAAAGAAUCAGCACAAUCAAUUUAAAUAUAAUCAGUAACAUGCAUGUGAAAACCACAUCCCCUGCAGACUGACUGGAAAAUUAGCUAUCUAUGCACUUUAAAUACUUAUAACAGCUUCACUACUUACUGGAGUAGUUUAUGUACCUCUUCUUUAAGGGAUUUAACCACUUGUUGUAUUGCAUAAUUGUGGCAACACGCAAUGUAAGUCUCCUUUCAAUUCAAGUGUAUUGAGAUGCAAGCAUAUAGUGUGUUGAACUAUACUGUGUUGCCCCCAAUAGGAUUAGUUAAAAUGAUGGACAAUGGAUAUCAUAUCCUAUAUAUUAUUAUAAAACAUUAGACAGGAAAAAGUCGUCUUCGGCCUUACUGUAUUUGAAACAUAGUAUUUGGAAUAACAAUGAUUAUUUGCAAUGUUAUAUAGUUCAUAUAGUUCAUUACAUUACAGGUCAUUUAGCUGGUGCUUUUAUCCAAAGCAACAUACAUUACAUUUUUAACCCAUGGCUUUUACAUUUUUGCCCAGGGAGCAAAUAGGGGUUAGGUGUCUUGCUCAGGAACACAUUCUCUACCCCUGCGCUACGUUGACCCUUCAUAUUUGAAAACAUAUUUGAUGACAAAAAACUGAGAAUAGGAUAAAAAUGGGCCUCAAUCAACACCUGUUCUUAAGAAUCAAUUUAUUCUGCAGUAUUUAUGAAGAGUGAGAUAUUCAUGCUGUUUUCAUCAUCAGGAUUUGUUCUGAGGUAAGAAAGAACACUUAUUUCACAUUUCAGCACUGAUAUUUUUUAUUGAAUUCUAGAGUUUUAUAAUCCUUAAAAUAUAUUUACAUUACCAAACAUUUUCAUCAUUUAUGUAAUUAUUUCCAUUGUAGUAGAAACUUAUAGCAAAAACAGUUACACCGAUCAACCACUUUGAUGCUCAUACUUUGUGUAGUGAUCAAGUUGACCAAACAUGAUUACUAACAAAUGUCCAAUAUAUUCUACAAGCAUUAUGGUAUUUAAAGUAAAGUAAAUUGACAGUUAAUUAGUAAUGUCAUGCUAUUUUUUGUUUGAUUCUCGCACUGAUUAAUUAACCCUAAAUAAUUGUUAUUUCAUACAAAAAAGAUUCUCAGAUAUGUUCUUUUUUUUGCACUUUUUUUGCUCUUUUUUUGCGAUUAAAUAGCCGUGCAUACUCAUACCUUUAAUAACAAUAUGCAGGGCAUUUUUGUGUGCACUGGUACACACUUUCAAUGUACAUCAACUAUGUUAAUUCUCAUUAAAAGAUCAUAGCUAAAAAUAAUUCUGUAAUUUUAAGAACACACAAUAAAUCUGAUAAACUUACUUAAGAACAUAAUUAAGAAAAAACAAAGGUAGACUGGCAACUAAAAAGUCAAAAAUCACAUUGCACAGCUGAAACACCAAAUAGGACAAAAAUUAAUCAUGACAAUCAUGGAUAGAAGUAGCCAAACAUCCAACAAGUUUUAAAGUAGGCCUGAUUGCUUCAGUAAAUGGAACCAACAGUCUGUGGUUAGAAUUAAUCAAACGGAGAUUGAUUGGAGGGUCACUCCUGGCAAUUUCACAGGUGAAUACUGUAUGUUAGCAAAGGCCUUCACAUUUAAAUGAAAAUCUUAAAUAACUUCACAUUUGCUAUUUGCCUUUACCGCGGAGCACACAACACAGGAUAUGUCAAAGCAAGCUCAAACAGAGGGAAGGCAAAGGAGCCUGAUUAAAGUUUAUCUUUCAGGGCAAUAAGUCUACUGGCAUUCAUUAUUGCUUGUCAGAUUGUAAACGGUUUCUGGGAACGACAUUAUGCAAGCUCACACACGCAUGUUAAAAGGGAAUGAUUUAGUCAUGCUGUCCAACCACGCUGAAACCCGUUUGUCCCUGGGUAUGUCAAUAAUCCGUUUGACUGGGAAGAACAUCUCACAGGGGGCAAGACAUUAUACACGGACGUCGUCUGCAACAUGUGCAGCACAUCACAUGCUUUCUAAUCUAUUGUAGGGAAAUUAAAUAGUCUCUUCAAAUUGGGAAAGCUUAAUGAAUUAACAACUUGUCCCCAAUUACCUAGAAAUUAGUAUUUUUUGGGAGUUUAUUUCAUGGCAUUAUUUUAUAAGGGAAUUAAUAUUCAAAAUUUUCUACACAGAUCCAUACUAACGAGUGACUCCAAGAUGAUCUAAUCUGUGUAGAUUUGUGUAUUUAGCAAAUUUAUUUUAUUUUUUUUUUUUAUCUAUUGACAGCCCUAAUUCUUUUCUGUGGUCUGUUCUUGCCCAUUCUACAUCAUCUCAAAGUCAACAAAUAAUUUGAAAGCGUCUUUCACGUGUAAUUUUCCCCCUAUUGCAGCAUACAAACAACAUGUGAUAGUAGCUGUAAAAAAAUUAAUUGUUUAAAACCUCCUCCUUUUCCGCUGUUGAACAUUGAUGUGAGUAAGUUUUACCAAAUAAGAGCCAAGAAUCAAAAGGGAAAUAACUUACUUUAUAAAGCAUCUCGAAGGCCCAUCGAAAAUAUGUUAAUAAUUUGUGUUUGCAACAUUUCUAGGACAACCACGGGCAGCAACUACCUAAAAGACUCACACAGCUGGAACACAAGAAAUCUCAUUCGGUCACUGGCAAUGUGCACAAUAACUUCGACACAUUAGAUUUCAAAUAAUAAAUAUUCUUGUGGUGAACAACAUUCGCCGCAAUGCUUCGACCGCUGAGAACACGGUGACAUAAAUUCUUGGAUCCAGCCUGACCGGAACUGUGUGGGUCGGAUUGGACGUCUCGUCUGAUAAAAGACAGCUCCCAGAGUACGGCUGCCCAAUAAAGCCUCACUGUCCCAAGGAAAAUAAUGUUAAAGUUUACCCAACAUUCAGUCACCCUCUCACAUAGAUUUCUGUAAUGUAAUAGUUGUAGCAGCACACACAUCAUAUUUGGGGAAGUGAGUCAUACCUUUCAAAGAGAGUUGUGCUUUGAACUUCUAUUAUGCUACCUGGUGUGCUUCUACCUUACAAGCUUGGGACCAGUCUGCAAUUAGUCUUGCGGACGCAGGAGUUUGAAACCCUGCUGAAGACCCUGGAGCAAGUCAAUAAAACAAACAAACAACAAGUCGGUGGUCGGAUCAUUGCUCACCAGGCUCUAAGUGUAUACAACGUGGUGAACAAAUGGUUUGGUAAACAUUAACAGCCAGAAUGUGAACACAACUGUGUUGUAAAGAGUGACACCUAUUUUCUACUUCUUUAUUUUAGUUGUGCAAUGUGAUAAAAGGAUUUAGACACAACUACAGUUUAUCCAAUGUAAGCUGGAAGGCAAUGUCAUUUAUAGUGCACCAUUGAGGCAUACGACAUUUUCAAAUUACGGGGGAACAUAAAUUUACUAGGUACAAUAAAAGGUCUUGAGAAAACAUUACAAUUGCAUUUGAUAGUUAAUAUAAACAUAAAAGGAAGCCAAUUCAGAAAUCACAUUUUAAAAAGCAAUACAAUUAAAAGUUAAAAGCAGGAAAAUAGUUGCAGAUUCAAAAUAUAUAAAGUCAAAUUUAGUGGAAAAAACUUUUUUGAACCCUUGAAGCUUGUUCCACAGGUGUGAGCAAUACAACUAUAAAACAGCUGCUUCACCUUCACAAACACUCAGUAGACCUGAAGGGUCUGCAUGCUACAUAACAUACAAUAAAUCAGAGAUGUUUUUUAUUUCUUGACACUAUUUAGUGUUUUAUUGACGAGUCAUUUUAAAAUCUAUCCUUUGAAACAAAGUGGUGUUAUGUGGUGAUUCAAAGACAGGUUUAAUGUGCUCCGCUUCUUGCUGUUUGUGAGUAGUACAGUGUUAGGCAGUAGCAUUGUGGAUACGUGGCAGUUGUUGACUGAUGCUAUUUUAACAAGACGUGUAAAUUACACUACUCUAGCCUAUGUUUUUCACAACAUUUCUUUAAUCCUUGCCAUGUUUUUAAAGAGAUGACAUGAUUUAUAUUGUUGUAUGUGGCUGUUCAAAGUUAGUCCAAAACUACACCAAGAUUUCUGGCAUGAUCUUUGUGUCAUAGAUUUCAAGUGUGAACUGACUUCUAAUCUUUCUUCUUUGGUGCCAAAAAACAUUACUUCAGUUUUUUUUUAUGUUCAGUUCAGAAGAUUCUGGCACAUCCACUUAAUGGUUUGAGAAAUGUGCUCAUCCAGUAGAUGAAAGUCACUGUCCACUGGCAUAGAUAUAUGCGGUCAUGCUCUCAGUAUUUCCAGGUGAACUUUGUGGUGUUAUUCUCAUGCUAAAGCACUAGUUCGCAACACAGUAAACAUUCUAGCCAACAAACUCUGUCUGCAGUGUGAUCCAGCCUCUAAUCAACAUCUGAAAGCAAUUGGUGCUUUAGCAAUACAAUUCCAAACUUACACACCCUAACAUCCUUGCCGUUCAAUGUACUCUGCCCCUGCUCGUACAGCUUGCAAUGUUUCACAAAGACAGCAUAGAGAUUUGAAUCGGAUACACUGACUGUCUCCCACAAUAUCUUGUAGAAACACGUGUACACCGCCAGAAUUUAAAUCAGUUCAUAAAUAUGGAACGGUCAAGUUGGAAUUUCCGUAUGGUAAAGCAGCUUGUCACUCAGAACGUCAGCAUCAACUUUUGCCCUUACAAGCCUGAAAUACAAAAUCCAGAAAGUAUGAUAAAUCUGGCUCGCAGCGCUGACAGUUAUUUGGGGCUCCAGAAGAAUGACCUGCUAACUGUGUACUGCAUGUAUAGGGGGUUCUGAUCCACUGCCCCUCAGACAGAAGACAGAGACGCACGCAGACGGGGGAAUUGGGAGGGUCUACAUGCGAAUACAACAAACCAAGCAAGCGUUCAACUGCGUCCCUUGGGCUUGGAGGUUGUCAAUGGGCUUGUUUUCCACCCUUCAGGACUGUGGUUUACUUUUCAAGAUUAGAGGGAAAUAAAAUGGUGCACAUAGAAAAGUUGUAUUUCCGAGUUGAGUUUCAAAAGUGCCCACUGCGAUUUUUCACAGCCUGAUUCAUACUUUUUGGUUCGAGGAAAAAAAAAAUAAGGCAUUGAUGGAAUAUCCUUGAUGUUGACUUCACAAAAGGCAGAUGAUAUUAUCAAAACUCCAUUUUGCCACGUUUUGACUGAGAGGCUGAAGCAAUUAUCAGUUUCUCUAAUAUGUGGAGAUGCUGUUUUAACAAUAUAGUGCAGUGAAACUGCAGUAGUUCCUUCUCUUCGUCUAAUGUAGAUUAUUUUAUUUCUGGGUUAGACCGUCAUAGUAAUUCCUCAUGUCAAUACGAUUACAUUAUGCAGCUGAUCCAAGUUGAUCCAGAAAUCCUAAUCCCAAAGCCAAAGAAUGCCCGAUUUCUAACACCGCCAAUCUUCUUAGAAGUAGUCUAGCCUCUCCGGGGCUGUAACGGGCUGUGGCUGCCUUGUGGGAAAGCCAGUGCCUUGCUUGUUCUGGGCCUGGCGGGGGAGGGGGGUCAAAUCAUGUUCUGCUAUUACGUAUUCUACACCCAUCCGAUCUGCAGCCCAAUAAUUAGACUCAUUCCACACCCUGCGAACUCGCUGUGACCUGUUUUUGCAAAGGAAAUCAAGGCUGUAGGUUGUUCUUGGGAUACAUCCAAUCCAAUUGAGUGGAUGAGAAGUGACAGAGGCAUAAAAGCCCAGAGAGCGAUGCUGCAGAUUCAGAACACGUAAUUAGCCCUGUCCCAGGAGGACGUGUGUUGAGUCUGCUUAUUCCAGACCAUACAUUAGCAAUGACAUCCGAAAAGGUCAACAUGCCUUUACAGAAUGGGGGAAACAUAUGAAAUUAUCAGUACAUAUUGGUAAAACAUGAUUCUCUUAGUCUCAUAAAGGAGUUAGUUUUGAUGUUUUUAUGUAGGAUUUUGUUAAAUGUAAGGUAUUUUUUUGCUCUCCUCUGUGAAGCAGAGAAGAGUGUCCAGACUUACAAUGAAGAUGAAGAGCAUGACAAAUUGAUUAACUGAGUGAAAUUAAAUCAUUGCUACAGGUUUGUCAGCAAGCUUACCUCAGAGAUAUGGCUCAUUCUAAAAGCAAUCAAACCUUAAUUGUUCCACUCCACAAACACAUAAUAAAAAAAUAAAAGAUUAUCAUGGCGGCAACAGUCAUUAUGUUUUCAUACACUUUCUCUCAUAAAACAAUUUACUUAAUUAAAAAGACUAUGUUUAAAAUAAAUUAAACGUAUCCCCCCGUUUGUUUAUGUUACAUGUAUUAACCAAUGUUGGUCCAUUUGAAAUUGGCUAAACCGGCCUAUAAUUUGAUUGGUGUCUCAGAGCUCGCUUUGCUAUUCGUAUUCUGUUUAACCUGUUGUACUGUGAUCAGAAGGCUGUGUCCUUCCCACAGCUGAGGCUUUGGCCGAGCCAGGGAAGCAUCUCUCAGUUGGAGAUUAUGCUUUACCCUUGAGUGGAAUUUCUUCACUGGAGGGAUUCAAAGACGGGGCUUGAGGGACACAGAUUUCCAUCUCCUUUCCUGCUUUCCUCUGCCCCUUUUUCUCCCGCUUUCUCAAUUUUUGUCCCUGUUCUCCUAAUAUUGAAUGCAAAAAUGUGGAGCUUACUUGUUCAACUUAUACUGUGAAUACGUUUUAAAUCAUCAUUAAUCAUGCACAGUACUAGCUUAUUAUAAAACAGAACAUGAUUGAAUUUAACUGUAUACAAUAUUCAGCCUAAAUCAAAGACCUCUAAAUGUGUGAGCGGGUCAAUCUCAUUGAGAGAUCUGGGCUCUCCGCCAAUUCACAGCAGGAAAACAUCUGCUUUGUUGUGAAUAAAGGUGUGAGUGAAAGCCAGGAUAUCAAAAAGCAAGAUAGGCUUCAGCACUUGAAAAUAAGCUCCCUCAAACUCCCGGCAAGCUCAAAACUGCCACGAUAUUUCAGUAAAGCCAUACUGUACUAUAAAGCUUGCCCCCCCUCCUCGCUUGUUCUCAUCACAUACUGGCGUUUGUCGAGUUUGUGACUUGUGUUGACGCUAAUGCUAAUCCAGAGCGUCAAACAAAUUCAACUUACUGUCCACUGUACAGAAGAAGAACUGAGAAUAUUAUCUUCGACACAAACGGAGGUGCAACGGUGUUCAGCAGUGUGAGCCCCGUUUAAAUAUUCAGUUCCUUUCCUGCACAUGGGGCGGCUUUGAUGUUUAUGUGGAGAUUUCAUGUCAUAAGCAGGGUACUAGAGAACGGGUUGGUUGUAGGUAGAGCAUCAUAAUAAGCAGCAUUAGUAAUGAGCAUCUUGCUGGCAGUUUAAAACACUGUGUAAACAACAUUUUUCUGACAAGCAAAGAUAUCCAACACACGCAUACUUCAGAUAAUUUGGGCUUCACGCAGCAGAUAUUUGGAGAUACAAGAUUUACAGACAUACAUAGAAAAAUGCAACAGCCACGUGCACACUCUCACAAGACACCAGCUCGCUUCUGAAGUCUUUUUUUACUGUACAUCAAUCUGUAAAAUCCCCCAAAAAGGCCAUCUCACCAAGCAAAGGCGAUGAAUAAAUGAGUGUGUCUGACAGAGCAGUCAUAGUCGAGAUCAAAGGAGAAGGAGAUAAUUAACAGCGGACUAAUUAGUAACCACCCCGAGUUUUCAUCAGAUACAGUAUAAAAAGAAGACUGCAGCUUUGCUGGCUAUUAGUUGUAGGAAAAUGUGAAUUAAAUAUGUUCGGUUUAGGCAUUUGCAGUGCAGUGUGAUUUUGUCGAGCCAUCUACCAGUGAAAAGUAUCAGCAAUUAGGACAAAUACAAAUGUUCAACUAAACAUGCCCCAAUGAAAGCCCUCAGAAGUCUCAAAUCUAAAUAAAUGUGACAUUUUUCCUUUUAUAUUGAUCAAGAUAUAGUGCAUGUCAUUGUGAACAGGCUUUCACACGGAUUGAGACAAUGGAAACCCUGCGCUCUGAGACCCAUUAUUUCCGAUGACUUGGUUGACACCACAAAGACUUUUCUUAGCUUUGAGCACAAUGUGCGCCCGGCUCAGCGCACACUGCACCCCCCUAACAUAACAACGUGGCUGUGUGAUCAGCGGUGAACCGUCUACAUUAAGGUUUUAUUUUUUUGAGAAAUGUUGGCAUGGCCAGAUACACGAUUGUUUGUGGGUGUCUGUGGGUGUUUGUACUCAUCCGUCAUCGUAUUCAGACUCUAUGUGCCUUGUAUGUGCUGAGCUGUGUCAGUCAUUCCAAUCAACAUGAAUAUUUAAUGACAAAUUAGUUGAUUGGCAUGUCAUUGGCUCACAGUGCAGAAUUAGAGUUAUACAUUGUACCACCUUCAAUGUGUGUAGACGCUUUUACUGUAUAUGUGUGCUCUGUCUGACAGUCAUAACACAGUACCAAAACUGUAAACAGAAUGGCAGAAAAAUCAAUAAUGGACUUGACCCAUGAGACAUUUUAGGAGUGUGAUGGUACUUUUGACAGCGUGAAAGUAUAUUGAGGAAGUUCUCUUUUACAUCCAAAUGUGAGGGAGACUCAGCCCUAGAUGAAAGAUUGAGUAGGCCUGUAGAAUUAAAGAGUCAACACAGGCCUAAUAAACCGCAUAAAUCAAUUUUUCCAUUUUAUCCGGCAACAAGUACAGAAAUACAGCCUGGGGGAAGCAGACCAACAGUCUCAGGUGUGACAUUAAAAGCAAUAUUUAUAAGGCUGAAAAUCCCUCAUGCAGCUAUGAAAUAUGGCAUUAUUAGCGUCUUGCAGCGGCAUUAUGCCCUGUGGUACUACUGUGAAGCAAUACUCAGCAAAUAAAAAGCUUAUAUUCUAAACCCCUCUUAAUCUAUUACCUCAAUCAGGAGAGACAAGUGAAUGGAGUAAAGAUAAUUGUUUAUUAUGACAGAUGAUAUGUGAUAAUAAAGUCUUUGGAGCAUAGAAUCUAAAGGGGGAUUUGCAAACGAUGGCCGUCUGCGCUGAGCACCAGCGAGAUGAAUCCAGCAUGGAGACCAGGGACUGGUGAUGGAGGGACUGGUGAUGGUGUUGGCUGGUGAUUCCGCUGAGCCUGGUCAGUGAAGGGGACGGGCGCCCGUUACAUCAACAUGAAUGUUUGAAAGUUUGAGAACAAAUACUUUUUUUAAAAGCCACCAUCAAGAUGCUAAUAAUGCUAUAGGAUAGCUGUAACCAGCUGAGAACAGCUGGUGUCUCGACUGACAGCUGCGGAGAAUGACAGCGAGGAAAUUAUGAGUAAGCACGAGUGGAAGGAUUUAAUCGCAGGAUAUAUGAGAAAUAAACUACAAGCCUGAGGAUGCAGAAAAAAACCAUUUUUGUCUAGAGCUUGAUUACAUUUAAGGGAAAAAUCCUCUUCUUUAAGACACAUGUCUUGAAGAAUACAACUCACAUUGACAUGCGCCACGUAAUAAAAGUCUCUGUCCAUAAGUCCGGCAGUGCUGGACGAUUUUACUGUGUAAGGAGGUGUAGGAUUUAGCACAAAUGCAGAGAUCAACGGUGGAGGAGGAAGCAGGAAGAGGUAAAUAAUGUAUUGACUAAAUAACUAUUCCAAACAUACCAAGGAGUCUGGCAGGCACAAAAAACAUCCAUUACAAUCCAUGGAAUGUACCAUUUUUUAUUCAAACAAUUGGUUUAUGGAUUGCCUUUUUCAAGCCUCGCGUUUGGCCUUUAAGCUGUUGUUCUUUUAGUCUUUGGCCAUUGGAAAGUUUCUUUUUGAAAAGAAGUGACAUAAAAUGGCGAAGACUAGUUCAACCAAACGCUGAAUAAGAUAUUUUUAAGCGACUAAUACGUCAUAGUUAACUGCUAUGAAGUGAAAAUCCUCUGUGAAAUCUGCCGUUGCAAAGUAGCCAGGAUAGAAGUCAACUGUGGUUUAUUGUUUAUUUUUAUCUAAGUGAACCAUCAUUUACUACAAGAACAUUGUGAUGCAUCAAAAACAACGUAAAACUCACCAUUCAUACCAUAAACCCAUGUUUACAAUAUUAACUGGGAUAAUAAAGUAGUUGGGUCCCUUUCUCAUAGUCUUAUACAUAAUUGGGUCGCUCCCUGAUGACUAUCGAAAAGAACAGGAGUCAUUUCCUCAUUGACAGAGUUUGCUGACUACAGUAAAAAAAAAACAGUGAAAAACAAGUGAGGGGGAAUGAACAACCAUAAGAGAUUAUACUUUAUUAAAUGAAUACAUGAUGUCUUUGAUUGCUCAUCAAUAAACAUUUUGGAAGAAUAAAAAGAAACAACCAAAAGACAAAGACAGGUAAUCAGGAAAACCAGAAAUAAAUUAAUUAUUAAUUUAUUCAACACUAAUGACCAACACAUCCUACUACAGGGACUAGAACAUUUGAUUGGCAUCAAAGGAACUACCCUAACUGGUGAAAGUCUAAACAAUGAUUCCUUAAUGCAGUGGUCCCCAACUUUUUUUACCUCACGGACCGGUUUCAUGUCAGGAAAUAUUUCGCGAGAAGGUCCGACGGGGGGUGGCGGAACGAUCGAUGGGGGGGGAUAAGCUUUCUGUGGUGGCCCGGUGGUUGGGGACCACUGCCUUAAUGCAAUCAAAGUUUACCUUUAUUACUCCUGUAUUAGCUUCUUUGCACUGGCUCCCAGUAAUCAUCAUCAUUAUUAUUAUUAAUAGUCACGUCACCAUUACCAUUAUUUAAUUAAAUCCCCAGCUGCAUUUAUUGUGAGGAUAAAAGAAGCCUCCUGUUGCAGUUUUUGGGGGGAGGAGUUUCUGUAACAAUAUGAGACUCCUGGGACAGAGAAUGUUGUGUGUGUACAGAUUGUAAAGCCCUCAGGGUAAUAUCAGUUCUUUGUGAUUGUGGGCUAUGCAAAACAGACUGAAUUGAAUUGGAUAAACAACACCCUCGGAAGAAGGCUGGAGCGGUGGGCAAGAGGAGACCAAAUGGGUUUGUGCUGGUGGUGAAAGGCCGGCAGCGCAAGUGAGAGCUGAUGAGAAGUAGUGAGGGGACUGCAGGGCUAAUGCCAACAACUGAAACUAAUCAACGUGGGGCAGACAAUCAGAACUGAUUGGGAAAACACAAAGACAGGAAGUGGGAGGGUCUGAAACAACGUGGUAGACAAAAUAAACACAAAACACGAUUGCUAUCAAUAAAUGGGACUUUGAUAAGAUGCAAAUUUAAAGGAAUGUAAUGGUGAUGUGAUUGUUGCAUUAAUAUCACUGAGAAGCAUGCAUUUAAUUGGGUGAAUAUACUGAUGCAAACUUAGAUACGUUGUUUGUACACUAAUGUACACAGUUUUACACUGAAGCACCAGGAAGACUAGAUAUAAACAUUACAAAGGACAUUUGGCAGUCGCCCAGCGGGAUCAUAUUUAAAUGAAUUCUAUCAAAGGAGAAGCAGAUUUUCUGUUGAAAAGAUUUUGGUUCCCAGUUGGGCUGUAGUUAUCUUCCCGUGAUUGAUUGAUCCGUUUUUUAAUAUUGAAAAUUUUGAAAGAAUAUUUUGUACAACCACAUUUCAAUGUCAACUGAGCCAUCCCAGAAUAUGCCUAGUCGCAUUAGACAUCUGUCAUUUUGCAUAUCAGUUGCACUCAGUGGCCCCGUCCCCAGAAAAAUAGUACCAUUGGUUCAACACAUAGCAAACAAUAAUUAGACUUUAUUUCAGGAUUUUGGGAAAAUGUGCAUGGAUUUUUCAUUACCACAAGCACAAAGAAUGAAGUACUGAGAUUAGAUAGGAUAAUGAAAUGGAAGAUAUUAUACAACCAAUAUGAACAUUUUGAUUAGGUUAUGUUUAGUACAAAGGCAUCUUUACAAAUAUAUAAAGUAAAAUGAGUUGCCCCUUUUGGCCAUUGAUAAAGUCCCUAUUGCAGUGAUCAUGUAGGAGAAGAAGAUUCAUUUUAACCCAAAAAAUGAUCCUUGGUUUAAGCAAUGAACAUAAAACAGUUUGCUAAAAUAUCUUGUGGUAGAGCACAUGUUUUGUAGUGAUUAAUUUCAGUGUGGAUACCUAUACUGGUAGUAUUUCCGAUUCUGUGCAAAGGCACCAACAUCAAGCAAAUGUAUUUGUUGUUUGUCUUGUUUACAUAUGAAGGUCAAAUAGAAGCACUUCAAAGCCAGUAAAAAAAGGUUCCUUCCAUUGACUUAAAAAAAGGAACUAUUAAAUUGCAUUUAAAUUGCUUCAUUCUCCCCCCUAUUGCAUCUGUAGAUGAGUAGACACAAAUCUAUUUCAUAAGGUAAUGUUUGUUUAUGCGGCACGUACAGGACAACUGCAGCUUGUAAACAAAUCAUAGCUGUGUUCUUUGAAAUACCUUCACUUUCAGAACAGUUGCUUGCAAGCCAACGGUGUAAUAAGUCCCCCGGGAAUGCUCCUUUGUCCAAUUGCGGUUCUAAAAAUGUUUGAAAAAAUAGAAUUAGCGAUGUGAUUUUCCAGUUGGAAGCAAAAACCAGAGUGGUUGUACUUGACAGUGAGUUAUUUAGUUGCAGGUCAACACAAACACAGUAUUACACGCUUACAACCCCCACCGGGAGCUCCGGGUCUAAAAAUGAAAGAACAACACACAUUUAAAUCUCAGAGGGACGCAGAUGUCUCCAGUCUUUCUUGAACUGGUCUGUUUACAUCUUCCCCUGAAGUGGCGCAAGUCAUUCUUUUGUGUAUUUCAUUGUGUGUUGGCAAUAUUGUAUGGCAUGCAAGCUCUGAUCCCUGCGCUCCCUAAGGCAAGGUUCGGAUAGGGCCUCGGGGACCUUGUGAACCAGUACAAAAACACCUGCUUGUUUUCAACGCUCCAUAUUAAAUUCCCCUUCGCUGGUACACCCACAGAGACAGUCAUGAAAGUGAAAUAAAAGCCAGGGAGAGAUUCGGGGCGGUGGUUAGGACAGGAUGCUAGCAAGUUCCAGCAGGGUCACCGAUACAGUUCUCACUGAAAAGAACACGUACAAUGAAAACACGUAGAUAUGUUCUCAUCAAGUACUGUAGCUAAAAGUGGUCCAAUAAUGUGAUGGAGGGAAGAGUAAAAUACCAUCAUAGAACCAAUAUUAUGGGAAAAGCUAAACAUUUAGUAAAAUAUUUUCUAAAGGGGACAAACCUAACGGUGUAUCUUGUUGGUUUACUUCAGGCACAAACAGAAUGUAUGCGCUCCAGGAGGAGUUAAAUCUAACUAGCCUAUUUCUGGAAGAGCACCUGCCGACCACUGUGACGGCAGAGGACUGCACCUACGCCCGACUAUGCCAGAGAGGCUGUAUCUUAGUGUUAGCUGGAUUGACACUGAGGGUUACUUCGCCUUAACCACGAACGACACAUUGUAUGCGUUUCAUUGCAUUUUCUCCGUGUUCAAUUCAAACAAAGAUAUACAGUUAGUGAGCUUGAGAGUAGGAAGACUUUUCUUUUACUUUGAGCAAGGCUACCUGUUUCCCGCUUCUUAGAGUCGAAAAUAAGGUAAAUAAAGCAGUUGUCCACUGUCCUGGUCAUUAAACACGUCUGUUUGGCUGCUUCUCCAAAUAUCCGUUGUGAUAUUCUCUUUCUCUGGCACGCUCCACAUACAGCAAUUCUUCAUUUGAUAUGAAUGCAGAUAUUGAAAGCAGCAAAUAAUGUGGCGUAGGCCUACAUAGAUAUUUCUACAGUGAUUCUUUGAGAAUCCCCAAAUAAGAAUUCCAAUUCACAUCCCCACAGCAGUGCUGAGCAUAGAGACACUUUUUUAUGUUAUGUUUUUUUUUUAAACCAUAUUUUUUUUUCAUAUAUGAAACAACAUAACACCUACUAUGCUAUGAGCAAACAUGGCACAAAAACGGUGAAGAAGUGGUGUGAUGCCAGAACCACCCUACGUCUCCUGUCACUGCUGAGAAAAAACAUAAUUUACAGUUAUAAUUUUAAUUGCCGGCCUAUUGGGUUGGUCCUGCAAGUGAACAUCACAUCUCACAAAAAGCCUCUGAUUCUAAAGAAGCUCAUUUGCACAAAGAAACAAUAAACAAACAUUUUUAGGUUUAAAUGUUUCAAAUGUAUUUUAAAUGUAGUGAUUGGAUUUUGGAUUUGUUGCUUGGUGUUCAUCAUUAAAUGUUAGAAGCUCUGUUGGAUUUAAGCCACAGAUUUACGAUGAAAAAAAACUUUACUGAAGCACGUAUGCACUAUCACGAGUGGAAAGAUAAAACCCUUGGUGUAUUUCGGCCAACACCAAACAAACAUCAAAUCAAUCAUCCAAUCAGGCAGAACAAUAUUUGCCUAAAAAUUGAGCAGAUAGCUGGAGGCCACUUUCUCUGUAAAUUACAAACUGAGACAACACAACUGAGACUUGUGAAAUUGUUGCUGCUCAGUAUGAUGGCUAUGUCUAAAGAUAUAAUAAACUUGGAUUUUCUGUUUAAGUAAGAAGGUGUCAAAUAAUUCUUAUUCAUCUUAUAAUUGGUUUUGUCUCCAGUUUGAUCUCCAACCCACAGCUGGUAGGUUUGUUUCCACGGCGUUCUGUAAUGCUUGCUCUCAUGGCAUGGUUUCUCUUUAAGUUGCCUGCCAUGGCUGCAACUGUUGUUGAAUUAUUCCGCGUUCAGCUUGAUAUGAUAUUACAUCUGGUUUUCAAUUAAUGAAAGUGAAGCUGUGUGACUCCCGUCAUGACGACCAUUAAGUGCGUGCGAGGCAGACAGCUGCGGUAGUGCUACUUUUAUAAUCAGCUGAAUAUUCAUAAAUAUCUUCUUUUUUUUUUUGGUACUGUUCCAAUUUAAAAUAUUUGUUACCAGCCCUGUCAGCCUGUUGAAAUAUUUUGUGCAAUUGCACUGCCGCCAAUCAACAGGAGCGGACGGGAUUUUUCAAUAUCUUAAAAUUAUCUAGAAUAUCAAGAAGAGAAGGCUACUUUAGACAAGCAAAACACGCAGGUUGUAAAAAAGAACAUGAAAUAGUUAAAUGCGCACCAGAGAUGUUGGUUUGAACAGCGCAAUGGAACAUGCCAAUGUUCACAGAUUGAGGACAAACAAUCCACCAAGGCAUUGUUGUCAACAAAACGACAGCAGAAGCUUUAUAUUUUCAAACGCUGGUGCCAUAGUGAGGACAGGACAGAAUAUGGAAUUUAGCACAAUAAUAUAGAUUGGUUAGUAACAAGGUUAGGAGCUGAUAGGAUUUAGGGAGAACCUUGUGCUGCAUUUCUGUGCUCGGGUGACUGGAGUAUCAAGCCCUGGUUAAGAAUAAUGGUUUCCCUUCAGCAGGAUGGGAAAUUGGAUUGCUCAUACAAAGUGCUUGCUGAGGAUAAACCUUUGUUAUCCAAUUAUCCGUCUAAACUACAUUAAGAAAAACAAAAAAAAAGAAGAGGAAAAGGUGUGUGGCACAUUGUUACCCUGGACUCGAAAUAAUAAUAAGCAAAUAGAAAGCAAAGACUCAGGCUUGUGCAUCAAUGUCAUAGUGUCCUUAUAUGGAUAGUGGAAAAUGAUGCUGUGCAGUGUGCAUUUAUUUACCUUUCCCAAUAAACAAUGUGACAGUCGAGGAGCAAUGUCAUCCUCCCUGCAUGCCAUAACCAAUGCAGAUCGCACCGUCAACCAACAGAGGGCAAUAGUUUAUUGCAAAAUGCUUUUCACACCACAGCACAGAUUUAUUAAUUAAUAUCUCUUUAAAUUUCACUUUGAUAAUGGUUCUUUGCUGCAGCUUUUGAGUAGUGUUACACUGCUGACAAGAGAUAAAUGCAGCAGUAUAAAAACUUCCUUUAAACAAUCUACUUCACACCUCAUAUCAAAUGCUUUAAACAUGGAAACAGGCAUUAUUUCUGACCCGUGUGACAUUUGGGGAUGUGAUUUUAAUAACGGACUGUUCAAAAGAAGCAUUUUAUGGGCUGUGAAGAUGCUUAUAUACAUUUGCUAUGUUUCAAAGUGAUCAAAUCUCUUCUUUUACAACAAUGAUCUUUAAGGCAAAGCUACAAUGUACAUUGCAAGGAAGUUUUGAGUUGCUUUUGCAGAUAAUUUAGGAGAGGAAUUUCCAUUUCCUAAUGAGAGUGAUUCUCAAUAGGAAACACGAAAGCCUUUCUACUUCUAAAAGAGUCAGUCAGCAUACAUUUGCAUAAAAUAAGCCUUUGAUUAAGAUAGAUAUUGCCUGCAGUCUCAAAACCAUUGGCCUGGGGUGGCUCUUCAGUCAGUUAGCCUCAAGUCAUGGCUGAUAUUGUUCUCUGAUAUUCAAAAUUAUGCACCAUGUUGCUUGUCUUGGUAACGAGGUAGUUACUCGCCUUACUCAUGUUCGAAUUAUUGAAGAUUACAUGCAAAUCAGAUAAUGAUAAAAACACACGAUGAUAAAACUCUCUGUUGAGUUGUUGAGCAUUUUCUUUCUACUACAUGGGAGCGAUAAGAGAUGCAGUGAGUUCAUAGAGACAGUGUUAUUGUUGGUGGGAUAUAUAAAACACCCAGCAUGUGAUUCAGCUUCCAGACGGACUGACUAAGUAAAAGAUUAAAAGUGAAACUUCUAAACUGGGAAAUAAGAUUAAAAAAAACACUGGAGUUUGAAAAAGAGGGGAGGACCAAUGAAUUAGUUAUCAACCAUUAUCAACAGUCGGCCGACUUCAUGCCUCUUAAAAUGCAAAGAAGAUGAAAUCGUGGGGGUGGGCGGGGUGUUGGAGGCUGUGAAGCUGCCUCCAACAACCCAGGAAGAGGACGAAGGGUGUGGUUUCAAGGAAAUAAAAGACAAUAAGUUCAAAUGGGGAAAGGAAAACCUAGGGGUGGCCCAGCACCAAGAUGUAUUUUUUUCCUACUUCGUUCCUCGUUGACAGUACCGUGUUCCUCCCUCUUUAUAAUAGAUUGUUUCUUAAAUACAUUAAUCAGUGUGUCAGAUGCUGUGAAUACACAUUUAUUAAACAUAGGGGGGGCUUGGUUUCUGGGGAGCCCAGGCCUGGCCCUACCUAGGCCUCUGCCCCCCCCCCCGUAGUAGUGCAAAGUGUUGGCAAAAAGGCUCAGCCUGCACGAGGAGCACCCUGUGUCAAGUAUGAUCGAGUGGAGAAAGGCAGCAGCGCUGAGAAGAGCUCUCUUCGAAGGGCGCGGCAGUAAUGACCUGUCCUCACUGUGUGGACUGUGUGGCCUCCGGUGGUGCCAAACCCCGCCAUUACAAUGCGGCUUUCAGAUUAGGCCCGCGAGUGCCACAGUGGGGUGGAGGGGAUCACAGGCUCUGGGACGUUCUUGUCACACCAGAGCACCACAGUCGUAUCGGGCCUCUGACAGGUCUGGUGGAGGCGGAGGACAUCGACGGGAGUCCAAUCGCCCGUUGGCCCCUUGACACCCACCACCAUGUAGACGCGUGAUUCCCUGCAGCAGCGGGAUGAUUAUCUGCAUGACAGAGCCUGGUGCAUUUGCAGCCAGUGACUGUGAUAGUCCCUGGCAGCAAGCAUUUUUUAGUUCACUGUCUCAUGCUCUUGUUAAUUUCAUGACAGGGAGCUUCGCACAGCUGCAGGACAGGGUGUGUGGAUGCAUUUCAUCAAUUAUAUCACUUAAUUAAAACAAUCCAUAGGACAGAUGUAAUGAAAAAAGAAAAGGAUCACACAGAAAUCUACCAGACUACGGAAAGGUUAUUUUAAUUGAAUGUUUCCCUCUCAGUUGUUGCUUUAUCUUGGUGGAAAGAGACUGCGCACUGUAUUCUGGAGGCUGUAUCAUUCAAGUCUCGACAAACAUGAGAUGAGCCCUCCAGUGCAUGACAUCUUGGAAGCAUGAGCAUACAAUGUAACGACACAUCUGCUGUGAGCAGAAUUUUAUAGUAUAAAAGGGUUUUCAUACUGGGGGACACUCCGGGAGAAAGCUGAACUAUGUUGAUUUUUUCAGUUAUUCAGCAUUCUUUGAUGAAGUACAGAAAAGUGGGAAUGGAUAACGUUUGGUUCUAGUUUACAAUGGCCAUAUUCAUCUGAUAUUCCGUGAUAAGAGAGAAUUCAUAGCAGCGGAUCAUCAGAAAUAGAAUAAAAGACAUGUUCUGCAGUUAUUCUGUCGGAAUAAAUCAUAGCAAUUAAAUAAUAGAUUGUUGAAUUUGAAAGGAAUUGGGUUCACUGUGGGGAAGCAUCUCUGUGAUUACAAAGAGAUCAAAUCUUUCUUUACAUGUAAUGGGAAAUGUUGUCACUUUGCCCAGGCUACAAAUCCUUGACAGGUCAUUGCUGGAAAAUUCAUUUUCCCUUGUCCCAAUUAGAGGUUUAUGGAUCUCAAAGCACACUGUGAUGUGACAUGGCAUACUAUGAGCUCAGAGGCAAGGCCCCAUGCCGCACAACACUGUGGAUAUGAGCAAAGCAUCAGCUUCUGAUUAUCCUCUCUGGUAUUGCCUUGAGACGAUCUGCACUUCUUCUGAGAAGUUCUCUGGCUAUGCAGAUGUUUCAAUGCUCGCGAAGCCUGCGGUGAUGGUGUGAAAAGAGGACUGAUCUGCCACCAGGGAUGGAGCAUGUUUUUUUCUCAACUAUACUUUGUCAAGCGUAAUUUUUGAAUCUCCAGCACAGUGAAAGGCCUAGCCCUUUAAACUCAGAUGCAAAUUCAGGACCCGGGGAAUAAACAUGAGCUGCAUCACUUCCAUCAGCACUAGGUUUAUCUUUUAAAUCUACUCACAUGCAACAUUUGUUUCCAUGUUACAUGUGCUGCAUGGAGCAGAAUGCCAGCAUGGUAGACCAUAGAGAUAUAUUGCCAAUUUGUUAAACCAUGAUUACAUAUACCAAAUACAAAUGGUGAUUAGUGCUGAGCUGCUUAAAUGUUAUCAACAUGUAUGUGAGAACAUGUAAUUUGUGUUGCUUCAUGCCUGUGUGUUUGAGUGUAACGAAGCACUAGAACUGAAUCAUAUGUCCAAUAUGACAGGAAACACUCAACGGCUAUUACUGUCAGAGACAAAGAUCAAGUUUUAUGAGUUGAGCCUGUCCUGAUUAGGGCAGCAAAUUUAGCUGUUGGAUUAUUUAACUUUAUAGAUUCUUUGAAAAGAAUCCUAAAAUUUGAUUUACUAAUUUUCUAAAACCUAAUGAUUCCUCUUUUCAAUUCCACAUGAAUGCUUGUUUAAUUUUCUUUCUGCAUUAUCCACAAUAUAUAUAUUUAAACAUUAUACUUUUUAGAGACCUUAAAAAGUAUAAUGUUUAAAUAUAUCCCUAUGCAUGUUCAAAAGCCAAAUCAUAGAAAUGUGAUUAAACAAUGGCCACCAGUGACAGCGGUUUAUCGUGCAUAAUCAAGUAUUGCUGAAAAAAAAAUGAUUCGGGGCCUGCAUCUCUGACAACAUAAAUAUGAUUUUGGUUGACUGAAGGGAACAGUGUAAAAUGGCAGGCAUUUCAAAGUAAACGCUAUUGUGUAAGAUGCUUCUGCAGUGAAUGCCAUGGAGACCAUUUUGCAGGUUGUCAGCGCUUUCUUCUGUUUCUAUCUCAGCAAUGAUUUGACAUAACAUAGAUACGUUGCAGUCGAUUCUGAAUCACGUUCUUAUCAAAAGGGUCUGAUAUACACCACUGCAUAAUACUUCUGUAUCAAGACUAAAUCCAAGUCCAGAAGGCUUAAUAUGUUUUAUUUCCAGCAUUGUCUCUGUGGGCAUUUCAAACAUAUUCAACAUUCCUGAUAAUACAGAUUUUCUUUCACAUAGUUACAUUUUAACUGUGUAUUCAGUCAAAAUAAACUCAAUUCAAAUUAAAUAACAAUUUAGAUCUAAACCAGACUGCUGUAUAUACUGUGUUCAAUGUAUGCAAACAUUUGACAGAAAAUCAUUGCAGUCAAUUUCAUCAAGCACAUUUAGCCUGUUGUCAAUAAUAACGUGGCAAUAUAUUCAAUGGUUUGCUGUUUUGGGAAAACAAACCAUGCUGAUCAAAUAAAAGUCUUAGAAAUAUAUUUACUUCAUUCUUUUCGGGAGGGAUGGAGCACGAUAGUAGGAGAGUGAAGGGCGACGAUUGUAAAUUCAGGACAGUUACGGCUUGAUACCAUCAUCAGAGGCAAUGGAGGUAUAAAUGGUCCCAAUAAAGGUUAGAGGUUUUUUUUACGGGGGUGUCUAUGGCAACCAAUUGGUACGAGACCAAAUCGUCUCAUCUAUACUGUAGAGCUACUAUAUACACUUCAUAGCAUGGGGUGUCUUCACAUUCACAGCUGUAAAUAUUACAUUUUUCUGUAGCUUUUGAUACUAUCACGCUUUACUUUGCGUCACCUUGAGCCCCCAAAGUGCAUUUCACAUCCUGGCGUGUCAGUUUACUAACACUUUCUUGAUACAUUGUUUGGGGAACUCUGUUGAAGGAUCUAGAACUAGUUAUAUGGAAAAUGUGGCACAAUUACUAAUAUUCUUCCCAGGGCUUUAAGAGAUAACAGACAUUAAAGGUUGAGGAACACUUAGAACAAGCGGAGGAUUAUGUGGUGGGGGAAAAUUACUUACCUGAAAAAAACUGCCAAACUGUCUCUCACAGUAAGCUCUGGUGAUUUUCUAAAGCAUAUUAUGAAGUGUUUCAUGUAAUUAGUUGAGUUGUAUUAUUGUGAGAUGCAUACAUAAUAUAACCUGCUAAACAACCUCACAAGACAUCAUCAUUUAGACUCCAGAAUAGCAGCAUCAAUUACAAAUGAUACUAAACAAACAAAUGAACCAGCUCAACGUUUGGUCCAAGCUUAGUGCAUGUCUGGAAUGUUAACACGCAUUUAAUUUAAUUGUCAUACUCUUAAUAUAUCACGAUGAAGACAAUACAGGAGCUCUCAUGAUUCAUUGACAAGAUCUCAUUACUUGCACAAUUCACAAACCUUGUUUUUUUCAAAAUACAAAUAAUUACUUCUGUUGUUUUAUCAGUAUGUACACAUCAGCAUUGACUGUAAUGGGGAAACAUUGCAAUCAAAUUGGAAAUGUAUCAAAUAAUAUCAUUGAUUUCCGCCCAAAAAUGUAAUAAACGUACAAAAAAAAUUAGUCAUUGUAACCAAUAGCAAACAAUGUCUUCCCAUGCUUCCAUUAGCGUGGCUUUAGGCGCAUCUUUCUGUGAAACUCACAAUUUAAACUAAUAACAUGAAAAAGCACUUACAAAUGUACAAGGCAUUUUUCGCUGUUAGUGACUAGCCUGUUUUUUGUCAUCUGCUCCAAAAAUGGCACACCCAUGAUAAAAAGUGUAAGAAGUGUGUCUAUUUGGAAAAUGUAUUUUCUGUAAGAUAAAGAGGAACCCCUGUGAGUGCUGAUGUGUAAAAAUCAGUGUACAUGCUACUGGUGGAGAAAUACUGUAUAUCAAUAUUGCACACAAAAAAACUCAACUCAAAAAAUGUCACAAACAGCCCUAUAAAUCCUAUAAAACUAAAUUAACUAAAAAAAGUAUUAGGCUAGAAUCAUAUCCACGUGAUAGGCCUGUGUUUGGAGAGUACAAAUGUAAAGUUGAUAGAGCAAGUAUAAACUUCUCUGGAGAAGGCUUUUGUGAAGGCCUCAUGCCAAACGAACGGCUGGCAAAGAUUCCAAAUUCUUUUGGAGCUCCCAGUGAUCGAUCCGUGUCAUUUACCCACUCUGCUCAAUCGUCUAAUCAGCCUGAAUACAACGAAAGUGACGCGCAAAUGAUCAACAGCUUCCCUAGGCACUCAGACGAUACAGAGACAGACCAGGAAGUAAAAUGGUGGGUAGCCGUAUCUCAUUAAAGCCAUAAUUUACGUGAAAACCGACAAAGGUAAGACAUAUUUAUAAUUUUACCACUUCGAUGGUUUGGUUUGGCAUGAUUUGUCUGAGAGAAAUAAUACAGAUAAUGUUCUCAUGCUGUUUGAUGUUUUUUGCCCUGAUAACAUUUCUUUUUGACAGACAAAGUUAUACACCACCGUACGCAUACUUUUUGGACUCAUUUGCAUAGUUUAUUUGUUUUACAAAUAUUACACUGGCUAAAGUUGUUUGGAGUAUUUUCAUGCGGAUUGUGGCUUAUGGAAGCCAGGACUCUAAUGCUUCAAAAAAUGUGUUUGACUAUUCUUAAAACCACUGAACACAGUAAAUGUUGCAGCUUUCUCCUCAAGAACAGGUUUAUUUAAGCAUUCAUGUCUGUGUUCAUGAUGAGUGCCCAAAAUGUUGGUUCUGGCUUGGUUCUGACCGGGUCCUGCUUGUAUCCCAAAGAAUCAACACAACACCAGGGGCCUUGUUUAUAAAACCUUGCGUAGGAUUUGCGCCAGAAGUGGCGUACGGAUGAAACAUAGGACGUGCGUACGCACAGAAAUAUUCAGACUUAUUAAACGGUGUGCAUGCACAUCCUACGCAGUUUUCCCUUAAUAAAUCACAAUCACUUCUAAAUGCAGCGUGGCCGAAAUAAAUUUGUAUUUAUGUUUGUUUUACGUUGCAGAUCGAUCAAUCGGGUGUGAAAGGCAGUAUUGGCAUUUCAUUUACACACUUUCACACACGUUUGCCUGUUUCUUGCAUUUGCCGACGGUUCUCAUUUCACCCGUUUUUGUGCGUACGCAUGGGUCCGAGCUUGCGUGAAGGACCGCACAUUUUUCCGUCAAGUUUGCUUUUUAUAAAUACCAAUUAUUGCGUAGAGCGGCGUACGCAACGUUUAUAAAUGAGGCCCCAGGAGAUUACAAAACAAGAUUCAAAGAUUUUUAUUGUCAGUUACACAGGCUCUGUGUAUUGAAAUUCUUGCGCUUGCCUUUUCUGGAAAGCCGACCAAUUUAAAAUAAAAAUACAAUAUUUACAUAAAUGUACAUGAAAUAAAAAUAAACAAGACAAGAUGAUUUGUUUGUCAGACAGCUUCAAAGAGACUUAUGCUCACCCUCAUAUGUUAGCGCUAACGGUUGUGGGCAUUAUUGGAGAGGUAAAGGAGGAAGAAAAAUUGUAAAAUAAGAUUUUCUGUGUAACUGAAUCAUUCAGAAGCAACUCUGGACUCCGGAAAAAAAAAGUCAUAUAAUUUCCUCCAUACAAUUUAGCGUGACUGUCUCCGGACCCGGACAGUUUUUAGCUAACUAUCCGGUAAAAUAUUGAUAAAAAAUAUCAUGUAAUGUUUUCAGGGGAUUUAACAGUGUUAAAGUAGGCAUUAGGUCCUUACCUUUCCAGCCAAUUACUGUUUUAAGUAUGAAAGUACACACUUUCGUAACCAGAGUCGGUAAAAAGACGCUAACGCCGUUGAAUUAGCCCUGCGCUGCUAUAGGCAUAACCCGGACAGACGUCCAUCGCCAACAUUUGUUUUUCCGCGGAGAUUAAACAUUGGUUAAAGGGUGGCCGAAAUUACAAUCAUAGAAGACGGUACAGUUGACGUCGACAGGGGGAGGGCCGCUGACGGUACGCCAAAGUCGUCCACAUUCCGGCGGGCUCCACUGGAUGCCCCGGUGGGCCGGAUGUGGCCCACGGGCUGGAGGUUGAGUCCCCUGACGUAACGGUUUCCUGACCCAGACAGUGAAAGCUAAUAGCGCCCUGACCUGGACACACACAAUUUGACGCGGUUUCCGAUAUUUUUCUGCUGUCGAUUGAAGCGGGAUAUUUUAUUGUAAAAGGCCAAAAUUGGGUUACCGGCUAUGUUAACAGCAUUGAUGGUAAUUUGACGACCCUUUAACCAUUAGUUAAUCUCCGCACUUCUACCCAUGUCAUGGCAAUACCAGUGCACUGCUAAUUCACGGGCGUUAGUGUCUUUUUAAAGACUGUGGUUAGGAAAAUUUUAACUUAACUCAUGAUUCCAAAAGUAUGUGGCUCGAAAGUUACGGCUUACUUUAAUACCAAUAAAUCACGGUACAUUACAUGAUAAUUUGUAUCAGUAGUUUUACUGGAUAGUUAGCUAAAAGCUGCCCGGGUCAGGACACCGUUACGUUAUGUAUUUUAAAGUGUUAAUUGACACAAACAUGAUCCUCACAAAAACAUGUGAGGAUCAUUACUGACAGGCAGCACGGCAGGGCUGCCCUUCUUUUCAGACCUUAAUUGUUUCCUUCAGAAUGACAACAGGGAUGUUCUCCCUGUUUUAAAUGGGUCUUUUCUUCUAUUCUGUUUCUAUUGUUUUUCUGCAGUCUCGUUUUGAUAGCCAUAACUUGUGCAGCAAAUGGACCGCAAAACAUCCCGACACAAUUGAAAAGACAAUACAGGCAAAUGGGCAAACUUUUGCACACAAGGUGUAAUCAGACUCCGGGUACUUAUGUAUAAUAUUUUUGAAAGAAAAUAAAUUCUAGAAUUAAUAGGUUGUAUGUAUGUGUGCUUUCCAAACUUGACUUUCUAUAAAAUGACAUGACGUAUAAAUAUCCAGGAGACGCAUUAUAAUGUCAAGGGCAAGGACAUGAUUAAUUUGCUUAAUACAACUUGAGUGGUGGCACAAUGGAAUAAAUUAAUUAUCACAUUUUUCUGUUAAUUUGCAGGUGUUAUGACUUCCUGCAUCUGUAUUAUGCAUGGCAGUUAAAAAUACCUCAGCAGUUAAACAGUACACGCUGCAGUAGUGGAUUUCAUCAACAUGGCCCGUGGUAAAUCCUUGGCUCAACAAAGGCUACAGUUUAUCACAAGCCCAAAUCUUCUCCCCUUUCCUGCCUGAUCCAUUCACUGAUACGCAAAGGAAUUCAAUCAGGCCAGGCUUCCUGACAUGAAAAGGAUUUCUGGUAGCAGUGGCGGGACUAUAGUGCUGAACUGACUUCAAUAGCUCACCAGACCUUUAAGGAUGGUCUUUUGUUGCACAACAUUAAAGGUGACCCCCACGCCUUUAUCACAGUGAUUGAGCAAGUGCUAAUGCUCAUCAUAGGUUUGAAUUGAAAGAUUGCUGGCGACACCGUGCGUCACUGAGAACAAAGUGGGCAGUAUCCUCUUAUUUCUUCAGUCCCCCACUAACAGGAGUCAAACAGUCAGUCUGCAGGAUUGCAAUGCUGUCAGACUGUAUUAUUGUUGGGAAAAAAAUAUUGUGUUCUUGAGGAGAAAGCUGCAAAUUUACUUUGUUAAGUGAUUUUAAGAAUAGUCAAACACAGAGGCAUUUAUGGAGAAUAUAAUGGAGAAGAUACAGCUCACUCCCAUCUACUGGGUAUAAAUUAGGUGUAGAACUGUCUAUUACAAAACAAUUCACAAGAUACUAGAGAUGAGAUGACAAUCUCAAGUUAUUUCACUUUUUGAUUCUCAUUAAAUUAGAAUUUUUCAAAAAACUGCCUAUUUGUAGUGAUUUACAAUUGAUUUGAUUUUCAAAAUAUACAAAAAAAUAGAACUCAACUGAAUGGGUAAAAACACACAAUUCAGUCAUGUGAUUUAACAAGCUACCCGCCAUUACAAAUUACAUAAAAAAAUACUUCUCUUCAAACAAUUCCCCCCGAUAAAAGGUUAUGACAAUUUAGCGCCAGUCCAAAAAUUUGGAAAACGUGGUGAAACUCAAAAUUGGGGAAAAGUAUGGGUACGGUGACGUACGUUCACUACAAUCUGUGGAACUGUCAUUCCGCAUAGUGUGUUUAUACCAUCCUAACCGCCUAAAUCAGUGACUUUAUGAUUUUAGCUGUUUGUUUGGUUGCUAAUGUUUCAAUUACUGCAAGAACAACAACCACGACUUUUAAAAGGUACCUAAAAUAUAUAUAUUUGGAUGGAGAAGUCUCAGAAAUAAUUAAUUUAAAAAAAAAAAACACUGAAAUACUACUAAGAGAUGCAUUAUUUACUAAAAGAUUUACAGUAGUCAACAGGACAUUUGUAAUUAGGAUUUACAUCUGUGCAACACACUUAAACAUGCCUUAUCAACAAGCGUGACUGACCCAGAUUGAGGCUUUCCUGUGACAUUACUAGUGGCUGCACUUAUGCAUGUCUAACGGCCAAUGCACAUCUGUGUUUUAAUAGACGUUUUUUGGCAGUUGGUGAUGCUUUCAUAAUGCCCUAGUGAAAUAUCUUUUUUUCAGGAAGGAAGACACCAAAAACAUGUUUUUGAUACAUUUUUAUUUUGAAUAUGAAGAAUGCAAUUUAAUAUUGAAUAGAUAAACAUAGAUUAGGUGAAAUUAGCUUGUCAACAAAAACAUAAUGCUUUCAUAAUUCUAAAAACCUUUAUUUCCAUUGAGGGUUCAUACCAUAAGUAUAGUUAUGAGCUACACUAACAACUCCCCUAGGCUAUGGCUGUGUUGGUAAGACUAAGGUUGUCUUUUGUAUUCCAUAAAGGAUUCCUAUUACACUUUACUUCCAGCGAGAAAGGAUACACGGCUCACAAUAAAGCAGAAACAUCCAGUAUGUUUUCAUACCAGCCAGAGGUACAGGCUUUGUCUCAAGCUUCAAAAAGAAAAACAUCUUUUCUUUCAACUUUCUUUAGAUUUACUUUCAUUUCAUUCCUCACAUUUGGAGUAAGCAGAGCAACACUGCAUAUAAAUAACCAUUUCUCCUAUUCACUGCUUACUCAGUCAGCCUGUUAAAGUUGACAGAUCCAGUACCAGGUCCAGUGGUGUAGUGAUAUGAUAGUUUAUUAAUAAAAUAUAUGCAUGGUAUACUUAUUCGAGAAAAUGUUGUCUCAAAAUCAAUAUCAAGCUCUGGGGACUUAUUUCUAUAAAAAAAAGGAAAUUAAGUUGUCUAAAAUCAUGAACAAGAUGACUUCGGAGCUGCAAUUGUCCAGACUGUAAAAUAAGCAAGCACAGGAUUACAGUGUUUGUGUGCAAAUGGUGAGACAAAACGGACACAAGCUAGCAUAGGUUUGUAACUCUGACAUUUUCUUAACAUCAAGUUACUAGAGAGUAAACCCAAGUUAGGACAUCAUGGUCAUAAAAGGCCAAAACAAUAAACAAAACUCCCCCACAAACUAAAAAAACGAGCUCAUCUUCCCUUCCAAAGUACAGAGGAAUACUGGACUAGCCAUCAAAAAGGAGACUACAAGGACCGUAAAACAAAUGGUAGGAACCUCUAUAAGACUUCCAUGCUGAAUUGCGCCUUUGUUUAAACAGUACAACAAUAAAUUUGUUUUAGCAUUUCUUUUUAUUUCUGAAAAUCAUGUAGGUCCUUUGAACAAAUGUCUGUCAUUGAACUUGAUGGCAAGCCAGGCCAUUAACAAAUAGCAAGCGGUGGAGAGGGCACAAUUCGAGUUCACAUGCUGCAUAACAAAAAUAAUUGAAGUUGAUAAAUAUCAACUUUUCAUUCACUUCCUCCAAACUUUGUGUACUAACAAUGCAAAUUUACAUCUGAGCCUUCACUCUGCUUGUUAUUGAGAGAUCAUACGAUAUGGACUUGCAUUCCCAUGAUGUUGCAGAUCUUGACUGUUCUGGGCCUGAAGCAUGCUUCCUGUCAGUGGGGUGCGACAAAUGUCAGUGCUUUGGAAUGAUAUUUUGGUCUAGAGUCUAGAGUCUUAAUUAACUCAUAGAUUUAUUCACAGUAAUGAAAAUAUUUUAACAAUGGCAGUCACGUUACCGUUAGGGCUUGCUCUCCCUUCACCGAUCACCCCAUUUAUCCACUAGAAUGUUCCUCCACCUCCCAUAAAAAGGGGAACUUCUCUCAGAAACAGCGCCAAGUAGCAUAUUUGCAUUGCAUUAGUGCAUUGGCAUUUCAAACUGAUUUAUCAAACUUCCCCCUAAGAGAUUGCAUGCUGUGUGUGCAUCUGUAAAUAGAAAAAAAGAUGGCAUGACUUAAUACAGCACUCGUGUUUUCAUUCAUCCGCUCUAUUAACAUGUGAUUCAUUAACGCACCAUUUACCCAGUUCAGUGGGUCUCUGAGGUCAAAAUAUUGAUGAUGAACCACUAGCUACGAGGAUGUGGGCUGCGCAUGAUUUUGUCACAAGAGGGUAAUUUAACCAUGCCAUGAUGUGCUUGAGAACAGAAAAGAAAAGUAGGAGGUGAGGCUUUGGCUGAGGGGACUACUAACAACAGCGCACCGGCCCCUGCAGUGGCUAGCAUGCCGGCUUUAUUAGUUUAGCGCCACAAGCUUCUCCCCUUACAGAGUGUGUAUGUGCCAGGAUGGAGGGGAAGUAAUGCUUUGCGUGUGUGUGUGUGUCUGUGUGUGUGUGCAAAUGCAUGUGGGUCUGUCUCCUUGUAUGGCUAUUUUUGUUCAUUACAAAAAUAAUUUGUGCUUGCUGUACAGACAGUAUGCGGUAAUAUGAAUUUAUUCUGUUGUCUGUGUGUGUAUGUGUGGAUAAUGUGUGUGCGUGUGUGUUUGUGUCAGGUCCUGUGAGGUUCCCAGCCUGUUAUGUGAUGAACAUGAAUCUCCGUGAAGUUGAACAGACGGUGACGCAAAGCCCUUGAAAAAAACAAAACAAUGCAAACCUUUAAAUGGCAAGUUCCACAACAAGACUCUAAUAAAGGGGGAUGACUUGCUGAAUUUUAAUUACUGCUUUAAAAUCCCUCAUUAGAAUUUUCUACAAUUUAAAGGCUGUUUUCUAAGAAUGUUGGGAUUUAGCAGUCUUCUCAGAUUAUGUAUCUUCAAGAUAAACAAGGCGCAAGGUGCACUUCUUUAGGCAUGAACGCCAAAUAAGAGAAAAGGUGGGGUAGAUGUUGCAAAAUUCAACAGCUGCAAUAGUAAAUAAGGUUUAUGUGGAAAGGAGAGAGAAUUCUCGCAUCGGUCACCAUGGUAACCGUCAAUGUUGUUGAUCCCUUGGGGAGGGAAGAGGCAUCUCUUUCUUCACACCAACACACUCUCACCUUCGCUGCUCCAGCUACCACUGUGUCCAAUACUAGUCUCAAGUGGUCAUCCCAGAUUUCAUAAACACUGCACAGCACCGUUGCUCAAUUAGAUAACGAUUAAUUUGGGGAAUGCAACAAAUUGUAUAAAACAAUGCAACAUCGCUUGUUGACCGGUUGAGAACAAAACCGAGAGAUCCUGAUUCAAGUGAGCCUAAAGCAGUCAAGCUGUUAUUAAACAUGGCGUCGCUGCCAGGAGUGGAGCAGUAGGGAGCCAGAAAACUAUCUCCUCUCCAAGAUGUUUGCCAAGGAACUGGCUUUGCACCAGAAUCACAUUCUUGCUGUGAAUUUGAAUAAGCAAUUAUUUUCAGUUUACUGUGUGUUUUAUCAUGCAUUCAGUCAUAUAUUUUCAGAAAACACAGAUGGAAAAAAAUUAACUGUUAAGAUUUUCUCUGUCUUGUUAAGACUUUGUUUGUUUCAAUGACACCUUCUUUCCUGUGAAUUUGCUUUUAAUAAUACCUCAUCGUCAAACAUUUUCCUGUUAUUCUUAACGACUAAUAAUGCCUGAAAUAACUUCACAGCAAAGAGAGGGGUAACAAAGUAUUCAGAAAGUUAUAUUCCUAGAGACAAAUUUGCCAUAAAGCUAUACAAAGUUGCCUUUCAUUCAUUACACGUGAGUGUGUUUGGGGGAUCAGCACUGACUGUCAAAUUCGUGCAGGGGAGAGCAGAGGAAACUUGCUAGUACAACUCCCCAAGGCGGAAACGAAUUCUCCUCUUGUUUCCCUGUUGAUCUCUCCCUGGUUGACAUGUCCUGUUUUCCUUUCCAACUCGUUCAACGGCUAACAGGCUCAUUUGAGCCAUUUCUGCAGGGAGACAAGGGUGUAGUCAUUUGAAUAAGAGUCGCCCAGACCAGACUCGUGGUGGCAUGGCUUCCUGCGCAUUCAGGCCAAUUCGUGAUUGCCGUGCAGGGAGCCAUCGCAGAUAUCUGCACUAUCCUUUUCGUCCAGGACAAAUCAGCCAUUCAGUGAGCGCGUGCUUUUGAACUUCAUGUACCCUUUGAAUAGAAUAGAUGUCAUAAGAACGUGCCACAAUAAAAUUAGCCUGUUAAACUAUUCUGAUGUAAAUGAUUCAUGAUUUAAUGGGGGGGGGGGGGGGGGGUUAUAUUACAUUUUACAACAAGUUCAUGCUUGUGGUAUUUUCCCAUGUCUCUCUUUAUUCGGUCACAGUAAACAACAUUUGUUAAGUGCUUUCCAAACUUGCAGUUGCCCUGUGGAUGAUCCAAAUGUCAAAAGUUUGUAUAGUUUUAUGUAAAGACUAAAUAAUUACUUGUUUGCAAGACACCUCAAUAUAUUAGGCCCUGUACCAGCUGACCGAAUGCCACUUUUUUACCUGUUUGCAUUUCAUCAUACAGCAUAUAACCACAUAUAUUGAAAGCUGUGCGCAUGAAAUGACAUCCUGCCAUUCAAAAUCAAAUUGACUUUUUAAAGAUUUAUCUUUUGAAACCAAAUAAGCUACACUGGCCUCGAACAAGGCCUGUCACCAGAUAUUUUGAUUAAGAAUGCUUCUUUCUGAUUUCUUUAACUGAGAGUUUGCAUUGGAGACAUGAAUAACUGAAGGGACAUGACUGAAAAUCAUAAAACUCAAAGUCGGGUGAUAUUCCUUAUAUUCAGUGCAUGGGAUAUACAGUACGUUACAACUUGUGAUGCUGGUUGUGCAUUUUUACCUAUUUCACAAAAGAAAAAUGUAAACAAUGAAUGUUUAUCUUAAUAAAAUGAUCCCAAUUCCUUGUUGAAUCACCCAAAAUAUGAUGCAGGGUAAUCUAGUUCAUACUGUCAUGCAAGAAGAAAAACAACAUUGUUGUAUUACAGUAUUUAUAAUAAAGUUUAUCACAACAAUCAUAAUUUGCAUGCUAUUUUCAAGCUAAAAUUUCCCAUCUGCAAAAUGGUUUGUUUUUGGUCUUUGGUUCUGUUGUUAUGAAAGGCCUGGCAGUCUGAAUAUCGGGUGUGGAGGAUUUAUGGUGAACAUUGGAGUGUUAUUUCAGUGCUUAUUUGACGCUAAAUGUUCUUCUCUCUUUAACUUUCAAAGUCACCAUUUUUUCUGUUAUAAUAGGACUGGGGACAAUUAGACACAAUAGGUCUCUUAUAUUACUCCACUUCUAUUAAUGUGCUUAUCAUUCAUUUUAGAAUUACUUUUACAUCAAAUAACGAUCAUUGGGUCUUCUUGGGUUGUGGAGAGAUGAUCCUAAAAUGGAGAGAGGUCCAGUAUGCUGUGGCAUAUUGACACAUAUCAGUGCUGCAUUUUAAUAGAAAAUACAGCUAUUUCAGGAUAAUACAUUUAUUUACAUAAGCUUUUUAGUUUUUUAAUAAGAUUUUGUUGUAAUAUUUUGUCAAAUUUACAAUCCUUCGAGGAUUUUAAAACUAUGUUGAAAGCAUUGAAUGCAUUUUGCGGCCCGUGUCUGAGGUGCGCCACCUAUCUUGUCUGAAAUUGGACGGUUCAGCAUGUCAGCCUGCUUCUGCAGAUAUAACCUAGAGCCUUGGAGAUAUGAUCAUUAAAAAAACUGUUACCAUUUCCGUCAGCAUUGUUGAAGUUAACAUGGCCUACUAGUUUUCACUGAUCCAUCUCCGUUGUUUCAUGCAUUGAAGCACGUAGAGUGGAAGGACUAGCUUAUCAACUUCUCUUACAAACAAGUGGAUACUAUAUAUUUUUGUAUAACACUUACUCUAUGUACAUUAACAUACUGUGGUAACACCCCAUUAAGCAACUUCCGUUGCUUGCCGUGUCUCACUUCAUUGCUACAAGUAUGAUUGUAGGGACAUUGAUAAAAACAGAAAAUAAAAUUGGAGCUUUUAAUUUACCGCUACAUUGUCAGUGAACUUGAGUAGAACGUUGCUUGUGCUCUGAUAAUAGGCCAAUAAUGGCUUAAAGCCAGUACACACAUGGCUUAAUUGAAUCUUUCCUUUACUAACCACAGCUUUUGUGUUGGCUGGUGCAGAAUCUAUACCGCCUGCUAUAGCAUGUUUGUGAGUAACAUGCUGCAGCAUUUGGUUUGUCGUAUGAGUCCUAAACUACACUAAAUUGGUAGAAAUGUGUGCAGUUUAAAGCAAACAUUGGCUGUCGGAGUUCAAAAUGCUCAACGGAACAAAUUACAUUCAACAAUCUCAGCCUGACCUGAGAGUCUAACACUGGACGCUUCAACUUCAUGUGCUCUUAAAUAGGUGUGGAGAGUUCUGUAAAUGUAUUUAGGUCUGUAUGUGCGUAAUUGGAUUUGUACGAGCAUUAAAAGGUCUCUAAAUGUGUUCUGAGAUUUGUGGAUGAGGUCCGCAAAUGUGUGUUGGAGAAUAUGUGUGUGUAUUUAUCAGACUCCAUUAUCAAAAUAAUCCAAAUCUGCAACUAGAUUUACAUGAUUUUUUAAGAUACAUGGCUUUGCCACAAAAUCGUCCCCAUAAAAAAUGAUUUUUCUUUCAUUGUCCAGGCCAUGGUUUGCACCAAAUAAAAACUGUAAACUCCCUUAAGUUUUCAAUUACAAUUAUUUAAUUUCCAACGGCGUAUGCCCAGAUUUUUUGUGGUGAAAUGUAACUGGGUACAUAUAAUAAACGGUUGUAAUUGAGUGAAGAUGGUUGUACUCAAUACUAGUAUUUCCAUUUUCACUUAGGAGGGGGGGUUAUGCUGCAAUGACACACGGAUGGCCGUGAUGAACAAAAAGAUUGUAAUGCUUAGUGUUUUGGGGCUUAGUUAAUGAGCAGAGAUCAGUCAUUUACCAUGUGGCACCCUGUUUAACACGUCCUGCAUCCAGCAGGGCUUUACGCGUACUAAAUAGUUUGAAGCUUUAUUCAUGAAGUUGACAUUUCAAUUUGAAUUCAUAACUUCUCGAAUAUAUCAGUCAACCUUCUCUUUUCUCAUUUUCUCACACCGCCAUAACAAAUCCCAGUUCCCGAACGAAAAGAUUUACUGAAAAAAGAAAAAUGCAUGUUUCGAUCCAAAAGAAAAUUAUUUUUUACUUUUAAAUUUAAAAUACGACAUUUAGUCCAGCUCUAUUUUCAACUGAUCUACUCAUUUCACUAAUUUGUAAAAAAGCUUUAAACACGUCAAGCCAAAUAAUAGAGUUGGCAACGACAUUUGGUCUUUUGUCAUCCAUGGGGGGAAAUUCCAGAUUUCUUUACUUGUGGCCCGGAUGUAAUUUGUGAAUACAAUCUAGAGUUUGACCUGCUUGUGUGAGUGGAAAACAAGAGCAGUGGUUGGAACCCUUCUUUAAAAGGGACCUCUUCCCAUUUCUGCCUAUCUUUUUGGUGUAAAAUGUUUUCUUGUCCCUUGCCACGGGGAGUUCAGAGGUCAGAGUGCAGGGGCAGGCAUAAAUCCUUGCCCAUGUAGUUGGGACGGAUUCAUUGUCUUACUCGAGACACUUAAGCUAGGCAGGCUGGAGGGCUGAUUAUAGGAUGGUCCCUCACCAUAAUGCCACCCUACUGACAAUAAAGCUUACAAUGACCUUUUGGAAUGUCACAUCCCAAACAGUGCCAGUGUGAGAUAAUAGGCUUCGCUGUCACAAAAGCCGACCUCAAAUAAAAGAGAAAACGUGACCCAAAAAUAGUGCUGUCAUGAGAGGCAUGCAGAGAUUGAAAUUACCUUCCCUGGAAAUGAUCACGCAAAACUUAAUCCUGACGUUAACGGAUCAACAGUCAAUCUGUCAAUCAAUCAAAGGUUAACAAGUCUAUCAAUAUGCGGACACGGACAAUGAUCCAGACACUUGACCUUUUCCAGGGCUUAAAUCUCGACAUUGGUGUGUUAGAGGGUCUGACAGUAGAGUUAGUUGUGGCGCUGAGUAAAAUUGGAUGAAUCACAAUUUGGAUUUUAUUGGCAGGGUCAGAAAUUAACAGGAGCACGGGGAGAGAAAAAACAACUCUAAAAUUCAAAAAAUGGCUGGGAAAUAAUUUAAAAAAGAAGGGUAGGCCCAUGCCCCCAGGUUGUAAAAAAUACCCUAUUUUGCAUUUCACCCCUUUCACCUUAUAUCCAUUGAGCUGUCAAAUAUUCACAUGUGAAUGUGCCCACCGGGUAGUUUUCAGGUGAUUUGUAGCCACCCGUAACAACGUAAAUAUCUCUGGACAAGGCCAACGGUGACUAUCUAUAAUUAGAAAAGAAAUACGAGCAGACACAUUCAACCUGCAACAAAUGUUUGAUUUUUACUGUUGAUGUGAUGAUGGCUCCACGAAUGGCGAAUCUUCAGUGUAUGAAGGUUUAAUUACCAAUAUGCAACGCUAAUAAAAAAAGACUAUGCAGCAUAAUCAGGAUUAUUGACUGUCCCUUUUUAAUAUGCACAUAUCUCAAAGAAAGAGCUGCCCAUUUUAGAGAAGUGGAAAAAAAGUUUUCACAUAAUUGUGCAGAAGGGCAAACAACUUUGUAUUGUAGUAUCGUAUAGUAUUACUGAAUUUGAUCAACAGGGUGUUGGAAAGGCGAAGUCAGAUCAGAUAAAUUGGGGAGGGAAUAAUAAAACCCUCCAAAAUUGACUAGGACUCGAGAAGAAUAUGAAUAUUUACUGUCACUGGAUGAAAUGGGGCCAUCAUCUUCAUCACUUUUAUGUUUACCUUCACCUACAAAACGCUACUUUUGCCAGAUUCAGAUUUACUCCAUUGUGCUUUGAUUAUUCCUAUUUUUAUAGCAUAUUCUAAUUUUAUACGUGAAAGUGCAUCCAGCAAUUGUAGCUAUCGCUCUUUUGGUACAUGCACUGACAUAUUAUUUUUCACAUGUUACAUUACAUUAAAUGUCAUUUAGCUGACGCUUUUAUCCAAUGCGACUUAUGUAUAAUAAUAAGUGCAUUUCAACCAUAAGGAUAGAAACUCAAGAGAACAAGAAACAAGCUUUAUCCAGCUUUUUUCUUGUUAAUGCACAGUUUAGUGAUGGGUAAUUAUUGAAAUGCUCCAGUUGCUUUUGUUUCUGUAUUUCUUUCUUUGUUUCACACAGAAAUGAUGACCUUCAAAGUGUUUAUGUUACCAUGUCUGAUCCUGUAGAAUAAAAGCUCUUAAGAUGCCUAACAUUAGAUGGGAGGCAACCUCCAUAAGCACUUUUCACAGUGUUACGUUGUGUAGAACGUGUCCCUUAUGAGGACAAUUUAAAUACAUCAGUUCAGUGCUGGCAAAGAUAUCCACCCCCAUAGACCGACAGACACACACACACAAACGCACACUGGCACAAACCACGGAGAAAAAUGCAGGUAAAUACCCAACAUGACAGAUCCUAUUCUACUUGUGUAACGUUAAGAGGGAUGGAUAGGUGCAGGCCAAACAAAAUAUUAAUACAGAGUUGCGGUUUUGAGAUGUGACGAGAGCUGCGGCAUUACACUCAUUCAUCUUUUGCUUUGCUUUUCCUCCAGGCCAUAAUAUUUCUCAUCAAUCAGCAAGUUAUGUGUCAAGUGAGAACAAUUCCGCACAAAGUGAAUGUCAAGCUCUCUUCACUGCCCAUUUUCUAAUCUGGGUAAAUGAAUGGCUCUCUGAUCCUGAUGAAUAUGUAUUGAUAGUGUGAAGAUGGUAUGCAACACAGGAAAGACGACCUCACAUGCUAAUAGGGAGACAUCUUCGCUCGAACAAAUGAAUAUUCUAUAUUCUAUCAACUGUAAAUUAUAUAGGGGCACAUGUAAAAGUUUUAUACUGUAUAUAGUAGCAAUGUACCAUUGUUUAAUGUCUCUUAAUUGCUGUUCUAUAAUACUCUAUAGCUGCUCAUGAAUUCAAACCAACACAUGCACAGUUAUUGUGCUCAUUAGUAACUUUGCCCUUAAAUAGUCACUCCGUGAUACGUCAGGGAUGACAUUAUUGUUUAACGUUUAAAAUUAGCAAAGCAGAGCUUGUUUACGUCUCUGCUUGAUCGUCAGUUUUUAAUUAUGUUUUAAUGUUAACAAUUAGUAUUGAACUGUAGUCAGCAAACUUGAUUGGAAUCCUCCAUGAACAAAGCUGUCUUUGAAUCUUUUAUUGUUAGGAGUAAUACAUUAAGUUGAAAAAAGAAACACUUGAUUUUUUUGCAAACAAUGUGUUUUGUAUUUGGUCUUAAUCCUUAAGAUUUGAUUUUCUGUACACAAAUGCAGGGAAGUCUACAUUUAUGAAUAAAACCCUUUUAAAGAUGGAAAAAGUAUUAAGUAGCCUUUGAACCACAAGAUAUCAACAUGCUGUGUGAAUGACACAUAGUCAUAACUUAUGCACUACCAUCAACACUUGGAAUAUGAACUAUUGUGCUGUUUAGACAUCACGUCCUGACAAACAUCAAUACUUUAUAACCUGUUAAAAUAUUUACAAUCAAUGUUUAUGGUGUUCAUGCUGUUUGAUUAAGCUAAAAGCUGCUGUCAGUGGACAACGACCCAAAUCAUCUUCGGCUGAAGCCUUUCCUCAUAUUAUCUCUGCAUAUAGAACUGCAGUGUUAUGCCCUACCUCCUAUUCAAAAUCAUAUAUCUCCUUGUAUUCACUCCGGGUGCAGUGUUAAUGUGGAAAUCAAAGAUAUAUAUUUUAAACCUUGCUUAAAGAGCAAAUACAGUUUCUUGCCAAAGCCGUAGCCCUGACAGUGUCACGAACAACUCGUAAUAUGUACCAUCGCUCUUGAAUUCAAUUCGAGUAAUAAUUUCUUAGCCGUCAGCAACACUACAUCAAGGUUUCACUCAUCAUUUAGAAACACAUGGAUUGAAAAAGGAGGAGAGGAUUGGUCAUCUGAUGCUGUCACUUUCUUUUUACUGUGCCCGCUUAUUUUUCCCCAGCAUCACUCUGCAGAAUAGCAGAGUAAGUGUCACCAUUGAAGUGUGGUCCUCUAACCUAACCGCACACCCACCAGUCCACCCACCAAUCCAUCUCAUUCAUCCAUCCGUUCAGCUACGCAAUGUAUCAUGCGCAAGAAAAAAAAAAUGUCAAAAAGAAAAGAGCAAAGCAUCUGACAAUGACAUGUCAACCAUCUGUUACUCUGUUAAAAUGGAAAAUCCAUUGUGUGUGACGAUGGAGAUGGUAGUUAAAGUGGAGGUCAUGUGGUCCUGUGUUAUCUAAUUCCAUGUUAAGACAUCAAGCAAUCCAAAGCACACAUAAAGCACAAAAUAGACAUCUGUCUAUCCAGCUACCUGAUUUAGAGCCACCCCUUCCUACUAAGUGCCCCAUAUAGAUGAUGCAAUUUACAAUUCCAUCACACCUUCUUUUUCCAGCCCUGUAGCAUGUUGAAGUGCUGUUGUCCAACAAGAAAUGCAGUUUAGGUGGCAGUUAAAGAUUAAGUGCAAUGAUUUUAAUUCCAUCAGGAAAUGCUUGCUCCGUCUUUCUAGCACGAGCAGUGAUUUUGAUGGCCCAUUUAAUUUGUCACUGUUUCUCCAUGCUCAGCCAAUUUCCAUUAGGUUGAGUCAGAGUGGCCCUGGUCGACACGCGUACUAACACCCAUUUCUUGUUGGCCAUCAUGUCUGAAACGUAAGUAUCCAGUUUGUAUUCCUUCCCUCUGCCUCAGAAUCUGCCUUCCCCGCUCACUUGUUCAACCAUGACAGACCAAAUCCCUCGCUUUUAGCUCAUCUUUUCCACUUAACUUUAAUAGUGUGAACGACUAAUUUGCAUGUUUGAGAUCAAGAUGCACAUCGAUGUCAUCUUCUCCAAGAAUACCUUACUUUUUUACCAGUCACCAUGGCAAUAUUUUUUCCAGAUGUUCUCUCCAAUCUCUGUGCUGAGUACAGGAAAACUUUUUUUAAAAAUGUACUGUUGACCAAUAAGAAUAUUUGUUAAUAACUGGGUAAUUUCAAUACU
ensembl:lncRNA